rnacentral:lncRNA from 1 species
AAUAUGUGGUAGAUUAUGCUUGUCCCCUUUUUCAUUUUUGUUCCAUCAGGCCAAACAUUGUCUUCCACUGCUUCAUUUGAAUAUAGUGGAAUGGGCGGGAAGCGUCUCAUGCACUCAUAUAUGGAGGCAUGCAUGUAAACCAUUUCCCUCAGACGUCCAUCCUUCUGUUUAAUUUCUCUCAUAAUUUCUUUUUCUACAUUCUGGUUACUCGAGACUGACCAAAAAUACCAUGUUAAGCCGAACACAUUGUGUCUUGUCCAGUCAGGACUAAGCUAACGGCUGUAUUAACAAGAAAUGUUUCGUCUAGUUGUUCACCCUGUGCCCUUCUCACUAUUCCUGCUAACACGUCCUUGUCCUCUAAGUCCUCCCCCGCUACAAAUCUUUCCUUUUUUUAGCAAAAAUAUUACCUAGGAAUUUGUGAAAUUCAUCAACCAUGAGCGCGAGUGUUUACUCGGACCCUGUAUUGAAUAACUUUUUAGCCUUCCAUAUCAGGGGUAAGGUGCUAUACCUUAAAAUGCUCAACUUUACUGCAGUUUUAAAAGCGUCGGCAAAAGGGGUUGGUGGCAGAGAAAGUAAUAAAUACUCAAGAUCGAACCCAAACCCGAUCCGACAUACAAAAUCAAAUGUGAAUCGACAAAAUGUAUCCUGGAGAUCAGUUGUAGAUGCAGUUUUUUCUGCAUUACUUAAAAAAGGGACAAGACGUCUCGAGAGUUUACUACAAAUGUAUAAGCAUGAAACUCUUUAGGAUCGAGAGCAUGGAGAAAAAAUUGUCUUUGUGACUUCCACUCCGAGCCAUCGGAGAGGAAAAGACCCUUCCUGAAUAAGUCUGAUAAAGCUUCUAUGAAUAUCCUCUCUUUAUGGUAGUUAUUGAAGCGCAUCUUGAGAAUAUGCUUGACAUUGCAAGGGUCUUUAGUGAAUAUGACAUUUCGUCCUAAGGGCAAUUCAAGUGUAUAUGUGGAGGACGAUAACUUGUCGAAUAUUUCACUAGUCCACUGGAUAAUCCGCUUGCGAUUUCUUAUGAAUUCCAAUGAUGAACCAAUUAAAGGAUACGAUUUUGGGUAAACCUGUUUCUUCCUUGACUGUACGAAGAAUAAAGAAAGAAAGAACAAUCUCACAAAAGUAGAAAAUGCCAAAUAGUAGCACGACUCUAUAUCCACGGCUAACAUAGAUCUAAUUAAUAUAAUUUCACUCACGUUGUAUAAAACCUAAACUCCUUUUGAGUAUAUUUAUACACUGCGAAUCGUACAUUGUGCAAAAAGAUAAUGAACCAAUUGAGGCUAAAAAUAAUAUCUCGCUCUGAUCUCAACUACAACGUCAUAAAUGACAACAAGAGAAAUUAAGGUCCAUUUGAUUGCUGCUUUCAACUACAAUCGUAAAUGAAAAUAAAAGAUGUUGAUGGUCUUUGCUUACCUUGGGAAAUGUACAAAUAAUUAUGCAGCAUUUGAUUGGUAAGUGAUAAGAAAUUCUUAUGUGGUGUGAUAUUGUCCGCUUUGAACCACAUUCACACUGUUUUCCUAAAAGGUCUCACACCAUUAAGAGAUACUACAUCUUAUACUUUGCUUCCUAAUCCGUUCAGCUACCAAUGUAAGACUUUUAUUUGCAAACCAAUAUUCACUUAAUUAUAUAAUGCAUGGAGAAAGAGCAGGACAACAACAAUCCACCAUAAUGUUAUACAUAUUGGAGAGAUGAUAUAUAAUAUGAAUGGAAAACUGUAUCAUAUAAAUGUUAUUAAUCGUAGGCCUUUGAAAAGGCACAUAAACAAAGUAGUAGACUCCAUCUACUGCUAAAGUAUUAAACUUGAAACUGAAUAUUCUACUAAAUCAACAAUUAGACUCUUUUUAUAACUAAACAACUAAUUAUUUCUAAAAAACACUCCUCCUUGCUUUUGUUGUUGCAAUUAAAAAGAAAAACUUAAGAAAAUUACUCUCAACUUUUCAUUCUUUUUUGAGUAAAUGCACUGUUUCCAUCCUUAACUAUAAACGAAAUUUCUGAGACACACCCCAACUUAAAGAGGUCCUAUUACCCAUGGACUAAUUAAAAUCGUAUUUUUGGCAACCUUAAGUGCAUACGUGGCACAUACGUGUGCCUACGUGGACCUUCAGUAUGUUGAUUCAUGCAGUGUGCCACGUAUGUGACACAUAGGCCUUAAGGUUGCCAAAAAUACGGUUUUAAUUAGUCCAAGUAAUAAGGCCCCUUUUAAGUUGGAGUAUGUCUCAACAAUUUCGUUUAUAGUUCAGGGUGAAAAUAGUGCAUUUUUUUUUUAAAAAAGAUAAAUAAUCUCCAACGAUAUUUUAGUAACAGAGCUAUUAUGAGAGAGACAAUAAUUUCUUUUCUUGAUCGAACGAACACAUUUUAUUAUCUUCAACAGACCACACCCUUGUGGGGUCCAUUCCUAUGUCUCUUUUUUCAACAUUAACUGCAAAGAUUGAAAUGCUGCUAAGACAAAAUGUCAAACCAAAAAACUUUUCUUGUUGGCAAACUUUGAAAUAUUGUUGUUGGCUGAAGUCAUUGCUUACGUAAAUAGGUAUAGAAUUUGCCUAUAAAAGGAGUUUCUCAACUCAUUUGUAAGACUCACCAAAACAGAGAGAAAAACAUUAGAGAGCAGUGUGGUAUUCUACAGAUUGUGAUAAAAAUAGUCUGUGAAGGAAAAAUUAAAGUGAGCGAUAUUUUAGUAAAGUAGAAGUCAAAAGGGGAUUAUUUCUUUUGAGUGUGUGGUAGUCACUUUGAGUAUUGUAUUUGUGACUACGGUGUAAAAUUUCUUACAUAAUAAUAUCAGUUGCUCCUCUUGGUCUGUGGUUUUUUCCCUUAUUUAGAAGGGUUUCACGUAAAAUUCUUGGUGUCAUUAUUUUCAUUUAUUUUCUCUAUUAUUUUUCCACAAAUACUUUUGUUGUUAUUCCACGUUUACCCAAUAAACUGGUAUCAAAGCCCAAGGUUUGCAAUAUCUGUAUUUUUUGGUAAACAAUGGAAGCCAACACAAGUAGAAUGAUUACUUUAAAUGGCGUUAAUUAUGCCAUUUGGAAGGGGAAAAUGGAAGAUCUGCUCUAUGUCAAGAAUUUUUAUCAGCCGGUCUUUGACACUAUAAAAUCUAAAAAUACUAAGAUGAUAUACAGGAUACUUACGGACUGGACCAUGACUUAAUAGCUGAAUAUGAAACUGAUGCAUGAUGCAUGAUGCAUGUACUGAACUGAAUUUUGCAAUCUACUUGGAUACGAACAAACUAUCUCUUGAAAUGGUCAUACUCAAAAAAUUUUAGGUAGUGAGACUAGACUAAAUCAGAAGAUGUAAACUGAAUUUCUGGCUGCACGGACUGAAUCAUGCUGAAUGCUCUCCCCCAAAUUGGUUAUUUAUUCAACACCUUUCUAAGAAAUUUCUAAGGCCAUUAGGGAGUAAGGGACUCUGGGCAUGAUCUGAACAAGACCUCAGAAUAAGGAAUUACAACAUUGCUCUAAAUAUAGCAUGAAACAUAGACCUGUACAUUAUAUGCUAGGAUAGAAUUUCUAGGUCAUAGGCAAUGCAACUUCGUACUUUCAAACUUAGCCACUCUUCUCGAAUAAUCCCUCACUAUACUAUUCCCAUCAAAUACCAUACUCCCUUGAUUUAACUUCUAAUUCUCACAUGGGCAUUGAUAAACCUAUCUACUAAGGUCUAAAAUAAACAUAGUCCUCUCACCAUAAUCAAGCCUAACUCAAAAUUUUCGGGUACUACAUAUGACACCAUAACUGACUGGACUAUCGAUGCGAUAUGUGACGCAUCGCGUUGCCCCCUACCAACGUGAGAUACGAUGCAUCGUGGCCAUAUCGCAUUACCUCACUAUUUUUAGCUCACCCAAAAAAUCUAAAACCUACACGAGAUGUGCUAUUGAUAACCCCGAUCAUGAUUUCACUUAAGGAUUUACCUUCUAAGGUCAGGAAGGUUAGAAACUAACGCGCACCACAUUCAUCCACUCAUAGAGGGUUAGAGAAUACGAAGAGUAUGCUAUUAUGGGUGUUUGUUUAGACAUUCAUAUGUGGUUAUAACAACUACCCCAAGAACAUACACACACCAAUUUCAACUAACCACAACAUGUAUCAAGGACUUGGCCUCAAUAUCACUUCACACUUAUGGCCUUAGCUAAAACAAGCAUACAACAAUCUUUCAUCAACAAGAAACACUUACUCUCUCCCAUUAACACAAUUACUCAUCGCCACUAUUAUUACAUAAGGAGGAGUCACUGAAAGGUUAGAACAUGAGACCUUAAAGCAGGAAGGAAACUAUAUGUAACUUGACACUUAACUGAGGCCCAAGGAAUGGAAGAUCAACAUCAUGGAUUCAUCAAAGAGAUCUGAAUUGAGGACAUACAUGAUAUAAACUGGAUUGCACUAGGAUCAUGAGUUUUUGAAAACUGGCCAUACUUUGAAACAUGAGUUCAUACUUAUCAUGAGCUACUCAACAUAAGACUGGAGUACAUAGAUUUAUGAGGGAUAACUCGAAUCACAGAGUGAAGUUGUUGCUUGCUUACUAGAAACUGAGAAUAGAUUUGAGCAUUCAAGAUAUGUAUAAGCAUUGGCAUGUGGCAUGGAUCUAUCACGCAAGACAUAGAUUUGGUGAUAUAAUGACUAAAAUCCAAGGAAUACUCCAUAGUAAGAAGGGAUCACUAUCUCAUCAUAACUCUUAUGGAUAUGUAUCACAAUCUAAUUCUCAAAACUUGAUUUGGUUCUUCACUCUACCAUCUCCCCCUUAUGUCAGAGCUGAUAUUCUAAGCUUAUGGUCUGCUCCAUAUCCUCAAGACUAAGCCUUAAUUUCAUAAUGCUAAUGUCUACACAUAAAUGUUAAACACACAAGAAUAAACUAUAUUUCGAACUUACUGACUUCAUUCUUGAAAAACCCUUUCAUAUACCAUCCUUAAUUUUCUAGCUUCAAUAAUUAUCAUCAAAGACUUACACCCUCAUUUCCAAACAUAAUUACAUCUCUACACACAUAAUCAUAGCCUACCAAGAUCACACUUCUAUACUUAUAUUUCUAAGCCAUGAGAAUCAAGAUUAUAUCAAAAGGCUCAACAUUAUUAAUCAUACUCACUUAACUUAGAUAUUAAGAACACCAUAUACUAUAUCACUAGACUUCUUCCACUUAGACACUUAAGGGUACUACUAACCACACACAAAACUUAGUAAACUUCGAGAAUAAUGCAGCCCCAUAUCACCUUGGGCACACCUCUACAUCAUACUUAAUUUUGAAUACAAGCACUUACACUCUUGCAUACACUAUUCAAGCCUACUAGAUCACCUCCAUAUAACUAGAAUCAACAAUCGAAUAAUAAUUAUUCUCACCUUUAUGAUCAUUCGCUAUUCAAACUUAACGUCAAACGCUAAACAUGAUUUACAACCCAACCUCACGCAUCAUUCUCACUCGAAAGCUAUAAAAUAAGACAUUAAGAAACACUAGUCCAUUAAAGCCUUAAAUAACAAUAAUCGACAUAAUCGUAUGGCCUAUCUUAUUUACAAUCCAAUAUCACACCCUCCUUCUACCCAUCACUACUAUUCACCCAUCUAUACAUCUAAACUUCUUUCAUAGUUCUAUAAGUUUUAACUAAACUCCUUUUUCCAACCUCAAGGGAAACCUAAAUUAAUAAUACUAAACCACCGAGUAUAUCAUGAAUGAUCUAUACUUUUCUAACUCAACAAAUAUCAUCAAUAACUCUUUUCAUACUUCAAGCUAACAACAAUUCUCCUUAACUAAUAACUCCUUCUCUACCUUCCACUAAACUAACACACAAGGACAUAUCACUUCAUUACCAACUCAAUCAUAUGCAAAAGAAAAAACAAUUCAGCUAUAUACAUAUUCAAUAAAUCGCUCUUGCCACCCUUCUUGUCACUAUAUUUCUAAACCCACACUUCCAACUAUAAGAAGAUUCAAUCUACUAAUGAAUCAUAACACUUUAGGUUUCAAUAUCUCAUGAAUACAAACUCUAUUAAGCAAUCUAUAGUCACACUAUCUUCUCUAAUGAGUACUAUUUGUAUUGAAAGGCUAAUGAGGAAUCUGGAUACAUAUCUUACUCUGUAUUAACCGAAUGACUCAUAAGAAUGAGGACAUAAAUUUCAACUUGAGGGACUUAUGACACACCAGAGAGCUCCUCUCAAGCCCUUUGUGUGACUUUUGAGAUUUCUGCUAUUGAAUCUGAGAGCAUUAUCUGGGGAGAAAUUGAAACUUGCUAAUUAUGUUAUCUCAAGAAUAAUACAUAGAAUGAGGAAAUUUUGGGGUAACAUAUGAAUAUAAAUGAGAUUCUGAGAGAACAACUUUACUGCACGAUUUAGAAUAGGAAAGAAAGGAAACUUUUCUUAAAUGCCCUGUAGCCUCUUGAAGAAAAGUACAGACGUCUCCGUACCAUUCCACAAGAAUCUACUAGACACGAAUUCACAGGUACCCUAGGACACUUGAACUCUGUACUUUGAUACCGAGUUUGUAACACUCCAAAAAUGGGUCCCGAUAAGUCACACGGUUCUUAGGAUCAUAAGUGAUCCCAAGCUAACCCUUCUACUGGCAUAACUCAUAAGCAACUGAAUAAAAUAACUAAAUCUAUACAAAAUCAGUGGAAGAUAACUCUUUUCUAAAAUUUGUUCAAUACAAAACUAAAUUCACAUGAUUACAACUCUACUUUUACAAAGAAAACUAAAACUGAAUACAUUAACUCUACUGUCUGUCUAUGAAGCCUCUACUAAUACUGACUAUAGACGGUUGGGAAGCUACUUCAACUAUCGCUAAUCAAUAUGUAUGAAUGAGAAAGUGAAGAGUAUAAAUAAGUAUAACGAAAGUCCCCUAAGUAGGAGGACUCAUCAUCUCACAGGUUGAAAUCUGCAACUAUCUGAGUCUGAAUGUGCAUACUAAAACUUGUGCCUACAUUAUGAGACAAUAUAGCACAUAGACAUAUAUGUGGAUCAGUACUUUGAGGAUGUACUGAGUAUAUGGGGGUGAAUGCAAAAGUAAAAACAUAUCUCAUAGUCUUCAUUUAUAAAAUAAUGCAUGAUAAAUGUAAGUGACUCAGAUAAGCUGGAAUAUUUAAAAUACUGAAAUAAGUAGAAAUAAGAAGCAAAACAUUCUUUACAAAUCUCGUGAGCCUCAACAUUUAGUUCUAAAGUCUGUAUUCUUUUUUUUUUUUCUCAUCAUAUUGUAAACUAAAUAAAAUCUAAAAUUUCUUUCUGCAUAAGAAAUACUUUAUCUCAAUCCAUAUAGAAUAAGUGAAAAGAGAGCUCACCUUUGUGUCUGAAAACUAAAGCUGUAACUCUGUAACUGAAAAUCUCAAGUAAUUCAAUAUCCUAAUAAGUUUUGUGAGCCUUUACACUUAGUUCCUAAAAUCAUUAGGGAAAAUACUUACCUUAAGAAAUAUACUCAAAAGCUGUUACUUACUUUUACUAGCAGGGGAAAAUAUACUUUCUUUAAGGAAAAAAUACUUUAAGAAACUACUCUGAAAAUCUUACUAUUACGGAGGUUCUCUUAACCGACAUAAACCAUGCGAGCUACAUGAAGUCCAACGUUUUUGUCCUCCUAAGGAAGAAACCUCACGUUGGGGAAGGUGUCAUACUCUUCCAGGGAGCAUAACCUCAACUUAGUGAUCACUAUCUCGGCCUCAGACACAUAAAUAUCAAUCCUACAAUGGCACGUAGUUCUGGGUAUGAAAUCGUAGUAACCUACCCGACUCGGUGCUAAAUACUACUUCCUUUAGUUAGCUAUGCUCAUCUCGUGGAAAUCCACAUUAAAACUCGCAUAAGGUUUUAUUAGGAAACCAGUUAUGCAUUUAACAUUAUAUGAAUAAUUCUGUAAAGUGGAUUCGAAAACUCAUCUGAGGAUCAAAAGAUCAAAUCUUGCUUAUCAAAGCAUACAAAAAAUAUAAGCUUUUUGAAAUAUCAAAACUCAAUCUUAGGGCUUAAAGGCCAUGCUUCAAACACAUGUCAAAACAUCAUAAUAAUCAUGCUUGUCAAUGAACUCAAUAACAAUUUAACUCAAAAUCUGAAAAUUUCUACAAUAGGUAUGAAAAUAUGAGAAUAGACAUGAAAUUUAUCUUCAAAAUCUCUCAAAACUCAUAAUCUUGUAAAUAGUAAUAAUGGGUAUGAAUCUCAAUUUAGAAUUCAUGUAUAAACAUUGAAAUUCAUAGAAAAACAUCAUGCUCAACAUGCUUCAUGAAAAUACUUCAAUACCAUCAAAAUAAUAAGAUCAAGAAUCUCAAUAUCAUGCUUAAACUUAAUUAGGAAAAAUCUGGAAAAUCGUAUUACAUACAUAAAUAUAUGGAAAUAGUCAUGUCAUUAAACAUUCAAUCACUUGAAAUCUCAUAAUAUUCAAAAAAUACAAAUUGGGUAUAAACCCUAACUUCAAUUCCAUGGGAAAUCACAUAAAAUUCAGUAAUUUAUAAUCUAAAAUAAGUUUUGGGCACAAGGACGAAAGAAUUGUCCUUAUGGAAAGCCCACAUACCUUAUUUGUCUUGAUUCAAUAGAACAAGUUGAAUUUUAAAGCCUUGAGAAUGUUCUUGGAGGCUUUUCUUGAAGUUUCUUGAAUGGUGAUGAUUUGAUUCUUGAGUUAUCUUGAAGAAGGAUUUGGACCUUGUUCUUGAGGGUUGAUCUUGAAAGGAACCCUAAUUUUGAUGCUAUGGAUGAAUAUGAAGUUAUGAGCUUUUAUUUGAUUUAAUUAGGUGUUAAAGAGGGGGGAAAAACAUAAAAUUUCUUUUCAAAAUGGCUUAAAAUCGAUAAACGGAGGUCCCCGAUGGUUUGGGCGAUGAACCGUCGCCCUGGGGACGGACCGUCCCUUCAACCCAUCACUUUUUGGCCAUAAAACAGGUUUACUGCCUCAGUUACGAUGGUUUGGGCGACGGUGACCGUCGGCCUACUCGUUGCACUUUGGCAGUCUGAAUAGCUCAAUGUAAAACGGCCAUACCAUUUUACCCCAAUACACGAUUUUGGAAAAAUUGAUAUCGUUGGACAGAUGAUUUAAUUAUCUAUCUGUUGGUGGGUCAUGAGAUAAAAAAUUCAUAGUAUAACAAAAUAUAUGCUCAUUUGAAGUUGACUAUACUAAAAUCCUUCUCAAGAAUUCAAUCGGUAAGGGAUGUUUUGAUUCGCCUAAUAGCUAGGACAUAUUUGAGGCCUUAAUACACAUCAAACUUGAUCAUAAAACUAAAAAAUCAGUAAAAUUUAUUUCUCAUGAGCUUGAAGCAUGGUUCUACUAUCGGUUGGAAUUCUCGGGGUAUUAUAACUUAAAGCCCAGAUACAAAGCUAGAUUGGUUGUCAAAGGAUUUGGUCAAAGAAAGGAUAUCGACUUUGAUCAAAUUUUUUCUCCUAUUGUCAAAAUGACCUCCAUUCAUUCAAUUCUUGGUUUGGAUGCUAGUCUUGAUUUAGAGAUUGGGCAGAUGGAUGUGAAGACAACUUUUCUUCACGGUGAACUCGAAGAGGAGAUUUAUAUGGAACAACCUGAGGGCUUCAAGGUAAAAGGAAAAUAAAACUAUAUGUGAAAACUUAAGAAGAGUCUUUAUGGCUUGAAGCAGGCUCCCAGACAAUGGUAUAAGAAGUUUAAAUCUGUCAUGGGGGAGCAAGGUUACAAGAAGACUUCUUUAGAUCAUUGUAUAUUUGCACAAAGUUUUUAUGAUGAUGAUUUUAUCAUCCUCUUUCUAUAUAUGGAUGAUAUGUUGAUUGUGGGUAAGAAUGCUUCUAGGAUUGAUGAAUUGAAGAAACAGUUAUGCGAGUUUUUUGCUAUGAAAGACUUGGGUUAUGCUAAAAAGAUCUUGGACAUGAGGAUUACUCAUCUCAAAUAUGAAAAUAAUCUUUACUUAUCGGAACAGAAGUACAUUGAACGUGUACUGGAGCGCUUCAAUAUGAAGAAUGCUAAGGUUAUUAACACACGCCUUGCUGGUCAUAUGAAAUUGAGCAGGAAAAUGUGCCCUACAAUGAAGGAGGAAAAAGAGAGCAUCGCUAAAGUUCUAUACUCCUCCAUUGUAGGGAGUCUAAUGUAUGCAAUGGUGUGUACCAGACCUGAUAUUGCUCACGCAGUUGGUGUUCUCAGCAGGUUUCUUGAAAAUCCUAGAAAGGAGCACCGAGAAGAAGUCAAAUGGAUACUGAGGUACCUAAGAGGAACCUCAGCUGAUUGUUUGUGUUUUGUGGAUCUGAUCCAAUCUUAAAGGGCUAUACAGAUGCUGAUAUGAUGGGUGACCUUGAUAAUAGAAAAUCUACUAAUGGAUUUUUGUUUACAUUUUCAAGGGGAGCUAUAUCAUGGCAGUCGAGGUUGCAGAAGUGCGUCGCACUAUUUACAACUGAAGCUGAGUAAAUUGCAACUACUGAAGUUGGCAAGGAAAUGAUAUGGCUCAAGAGAUUCCUUAAAGAACUUGGAUUUCAACAAAUGGAGUAUGUUGUCUAUUGUGACAGUCAAAGUGCAAUAGAUUUGACCAAGAACUCCAUGUACCAUGCAAGAAUAAAACACAUUGAUGUGAGGUACCAUUGGAUUCGUGAACAAGUGGAGAAAGAAUCAUUCCAUGUUAAGAAGAUUCACACGAGUGAAAAUCCUACGGAUAUGCUGACAAAGAUGGUGUCAAAAGACAAGUUUGAAUUGUGCAAAUAACUUGUCAGGAUGAGUUCUCUCUGAGAAGAACGAGGAUACCUCCUUCAGAUGCAUGGGGCUGGAUAGGGAGAUUUGUGGGGUCCAUUCCUAUGUCCCUUUUUUCAACAUUAGCUGCAAAGAUUGAAAUGCUGCUAAGACAAAAUGUCAAACAAACAAACUUUUGUGGUUGACAGACUUUGAAAUAUUAUUGUUGGGUGAAGUCAUUGCUUACGUAAAUAGGAAAAGAAUUUUCCUAUAAAAGGAGCUUGUCGGCUCAGUUGUAAGACAAACCAAAGCAGAGAGAAAAACAUUAGAGAGCAGUUAGGUAUUCUAUAGAUUGUGAUAAAAAAUAAUUUGUGAAGGAAAAAUUAGAGUGAGCGAUAUUUUAGUAAAGUGGAAGUCAAAAGAGGGUUAUUUCUUUUGAGUGUGUGGUAGUCACUUUGAGUAUUGUAUUUGUGACUGCGAUGUAAAAUUCCUUACAUAGUAAUAUCAGUUGCUCCUCUUGGUUUGUGGUUUUUUCCCUUAUUUCGAAGGCUUUCCACGAAAAUUCUUGGUGUCAUUAUUUUCAUUUAUUUUCCCUAUUAUUUUGCCACAAAUACUUUUGUUGUUAUUCCACGUUUAACCAACAACCCUAUCUAUAUGGAGCAAUACACAGAAGAAAUAAAAAUAAUAGCUACCUCACCACACAAAAAACUCGACCACAUAGCUCCUAUUUCCAUGAUCCUAUACAUUUUUUACUAUGCAUAUAAUUCCUUCAUCCAAGCUCUAUCUCUACAGUUUAUUUUACCAUGUCUCUGAUAAAAAAUGUUACUCUUGCUGUUCUAUUGAAUUUGUCUGACCAUAUUAGCAAGCCUUGGAACCAUAUUGUGCCACAUGGCUUGAUUCCUUGCAUGCCAGAUGUGAUAUAUUAGCGCUGCAACAGUUGCCCAUGUGAUGCUUAUAUUGACCUUACCUACUUCCUUUCUUGCCAUUCUUGUCCAUAUAUUUUGUAGUUCUUUGUUGUGAAAGGUUAUCUUCAACCAGUCCAAGACCCCUUCCAGGCAUAGUCAUGAGAAUUUGCACUCAAACAUCAAAUGUUCAAUUGAUUUCGGAUCUAGAUCACACAGUAAACACUUGUCAGUUUGGCAUACUCCCAUUUUUACCAACCUAGUUCUUGCUAGCAACCUUCGAUGCAUUUCCAACUAGCUUAUGAAGCUAUGUUUUGGUCUAUUUCAUCUAUUCUAGAUACCCAUCCACUAUGGCCACUCCUUAUUAGCCCUUGUGCUCUAGCAAUAGCUACUAUAUAUGGUGUAUCUACCCCCAUUUUUUAUCUAGUGGUUCUGUACAUAUUGUCACAACCCGAGCUAAGGCCCAGACCACGACAAACAUCCCAAACCAUGAAGGCCCAAGAGCCCUACUCAACUGGCAAUCAUAUACACAAUUCAUUUACUAUAAGGAAAUGAGAAAAACAAUUGGAAACAUGGUCAAUUUAAUAUUUCAACUGAGUAAUGCAACAUAAAUUCAAUAAAACUCAAACCAUCUACUACAUGUCUGGGAAAUAUCUACUAUAAUUAAAAAAACAUCUAUCUGAAAUUGGAACAAGGCCCCCAGUCGGACCAUGAACUAAAAACCAAAUGAUAGUAAAGCAUGAACUAAGGCCUUUUGAAGCAAGGGAGGUUCACCAACUUCAGACGCCUGACAAGACCAACUUACUGCUUUGUGGGACCCCGGGACUGAGCUUUAGAUCCUAAAAUAUAGGGGGUCAAUACAAAUGUAUUGGUAUGUGAAACAACCAAAAAUAGCAUGCUUUUAUACAAAAUAGGUGAGAGCAUUUCACAAUAACAGUGAACAUUAGAUAAGUAAGAAUACAUGGUCAUAUCUAAUAAAUAUCAAAUCAAUUCUUGACAACCUUGACUCACUCUUUGUUGUUAUUUUGAACUAGUCGAUACACCCUACAAUUCUGUAAUUCCACGAGCUACAUGGAAUCCACCCUUGAAUCAGCGGCCAAGCCCCCAAUCUAAGUAGCCGCUAGGAUUGGAGCUGGUGAUACCCCCAUAUGAGCACACCUGAGGAAUCCCCCCAUGUGAGAUGUCCUAAUUAUUUUAUUAUCCUCCCAUGUAGGAUACAAUAUCAUAAGUCCCGCACCGGCAACUACAGUUUCCAGCGAUGAGCCCUUACACUCAAACACCUUCUUUAGGUAACCAACUAGCUCUCUUAAGCCCAACUUUUAGUUCUUUAAAAUCAUGCUUCAUACUUUCAAAACAUUCAAUACUUAUUUUGUUAAGGGCAUACUAUCACCGAUUAUCGUCAUACCCCGAGUUACAAGUCAUUCAUAUCACACCAUAACAUGUUUGUAGCCCUUUUUCACUUAUCCUCAUGUUAAUGACCACCCAUAGUUUUUAAACAUCAAGUGAGAAAGAGUCUUGCAAUACAUUUUCAUUUUUGAGUUUACAUAAAAAACACUCUUCUCUCAAUAGUAAAAUCAUAAGGUGGCAAUAUCAUAUUUGCAUUACUCAAAACCCAUGAAAAUUGCUAAUUUGACAAAAUGAACGUUUAUCAUGCAAAAAAUACCCUCUCAACAUGUCAUAUUCCAUGCUCAUUAAACAAGCGUUCACCCCUUUGUCUUCGUUAAGAAAGUUCAUGCCAUUUUAAGCAAUCCACAACACUUGAAGUCAAUGACAUUAUAAAAGGAGAGGGAGUUUUUAGAAAUCAUGCUCUCAAUCGAAUCUUCAUUGCAGUGAAAACAUACAUAUAUAUUUACAAUUUAAAUUUUGUUAAAAAUGAUUCAAGACAACAUAUAAUUUCAUCAAAACAAUUCUAUGAUACAUACUUUUUGCAAUAAUAUCAAAAAUUCUUUGUAAACAAGAUUAUAGAUCUUUGAAUUUGAUAAAAGCAAUAGAAACUUAUGCCCAUGGUUUUUAGAGUAGUCCCACAUACCUUAGAUUACUUAGUGUGAAGAAUAGGACUGAAUUCUUGACUCGAUUCUUGGAUUGAAAGGCUUGAAUUCUUGCCUUGAAGGAAAAACCCUAAUUUCUUUUGUUCUUGAGAGUAGAGAGGAUUGAGAUGUGUUUAAAACUGAUAAAAGAUGGAUUAUAACGCUUAGGGUAUGAUUUAAAUUUGUGGGGAUGGAGUUUGGAAUGGGAAAAUACCAAAAUAUCCCUUUAAAACGACACUUUAGCGUAGGUCGGCCCUUACCGACGGCCUGAGUAACAGUCCAUCACUCCCGUGACUGGUCGUCGCUCAAACCAUCACAAAAAAAGCCUUUUUUGACCUUAUUGUUUCAAGUUGACGUUCAGGCUUGAUGGGCUGUCACUGGCUUGACGGUCCAUCAGUCUGGUCGUCAUACCUCGGCAGUUUAGCACCUCUCUAUAAAACGGGCAUAACUUUUUACUCCCAUAUCAGAUUAAGGCAAAACCAGUGGCUUUGCAAAUAAGACUCAAAGACCUUUCAUUUUAUAUAUAGUAGGCCCUCUCACUUGGGAAUAAUUGGAAAAGAGGAACCUUCCAAAACUAAUUUGCCAAAUACCCACUUAAUUUAUUUUUGAUUUAUUUUCUAGGUUUAGGGUGUAAAAUAUGGGGAAAAAUGGAAAAAUUGGGGCCCACUCAUGGGACAAGGAACCAAUUCAUCAUUUUUACAACUUUAAAAUUUUAAUAUAAUACACCUAACACCCUCCACUUAUUCCAAUAUAAAAAAAUCCUCUCUCUCCUCUUCAAUUCCCAACUCCCGCUUUUGAAACUACUUCUCCCAAAAAUGUUAUUUUCAUUUCUUCUUCUUCUCUAGCUACUAAAGGGUCGUUGUUGCUUCACAAGGUUAGUUCAAAUCAAGUUUCGAUCAUUUCUAGAUCCAUUCAAAUGAUUUUAUUUGCUAAUUGAUUCGUAGUGAUGUAGGAAAUUUAUAUUUUUACAAAUUUGGUGUUAUGGUUUAGUCGUGGUUUUUUUAGCAACGAAGUUUUGAAUGAUGAUAAUUGCUAUUUGAAGAGUUAUUUUGGCAUUUUGAUCUGAACAGUGACCUGUUUCUGUCCGUAGACCCACGGUCUAUCCGUAGACCCGUGGUCUAUGAAAUGAGAAUGCCCUAGAUUGAAAUCAAUUUUCAGAUAUAUGAAAUUCUUCUAAAACAUGAUUGCUGAAAGAGUGAAAAUUGAAAUAUUAAUAGCUAAUUAGUUUGAUUAGGUUCACUAGUUUGAUUUCUAGCUAUUGUUGUGUUUUGACACUGCAUGUUGGAUUUUGGUUCAGUUAUUGUAUGUUUGUGUAGUGAACUAUUUAAUGGUGGGAUAUUGGGGGUUUUUCAUUUGAGCAUUAAGUUAUUUCUAUUGAUAGACUUUUGGUCUAUGAACUGAAAAUGAGAGAUUUGUUCUGCAGGUAUAGAUUGUGUUGAAAAUGGCUAAAAAAACAUCCUUACUGAAUUCAAAGAUGGUAAUGCUUCUGUUUCUAUUGGUAGCAGUAGAAAAAGAAAAGCUGAUGCAGUUGAAAAUGUCUCAAAAAGGAAGAAAAUUCAAGAGGCAGUGUCCGAAUCAAAUUCGGAGUUAAAGGAGAUAAGCGACUACGUCGAGUGUAGUGAAGCUAUUUUCAAGCACAGCGUCAGUGGUGACAGUGAAGAGAGCGAGGGAAGUGGGAGAAAUAGUUAUGAUGGGGAUAAUGAUCCCUUAUUCGUGCCAUAUCUUUCAAGGUGCAUUUUUGUGGAGGGUAUGACCUUCGAACGAUAAUUGAUGAGGUGGGAUAUUUUCCAGCAAAGAUAUCGUUCAGAUCAACAAAGGAUGCUUAUCGAGAAUUUAAGCAAGUUCUUUUCAACCAGGAAUUAAAGAAAAGAUUCAAGCGAUCCUAUUUUGGACACUUGAGAAACCUGCCGAAAUAUCUCAAGUUCAAUGGACAGUUGGUCUAUUAUUUACUGUUGCGAUGCGUCAAGAAUGAUAAGAUGUGUCAUGAAAUAUGGUUCUGCGUUAACAACAAGCCUGCCUGUUUUGUCUUGAAAGAGUUUGGUUUGAUCACGGGGCUCAACUACUCAUCAUACCCCAGUGAAUAAAAAAUGAAGAAGGUGUUAGCAAAGGGGGACAAUUUUGUUUUAAGGUGAUGAAAAAAAAAAUAUCACGGUGGCCAACUUGUUACACCUGAUCAGGGUGAAUAAGCUGAACGAGGACCAGAACUUCAAGAGUUUUCUACUGUGGUUCUUGCACACCAUGCUGCUUACAAAAGAUUCGAUGAAGGUUGUCGACACAAAGCUGAUUCGAAUAGUUUAUUCUUUGAGUUUCUUCGAGAAGUAUCCGUGGGGGAAAGAGACAUUUCAACUGACCAUGGACUAUCUGAAGAACAAAAGUAACCUGAAGAAGAAGAAAAAAGUAUUUGAUGAGAAGUAGAAGACAUCCUAUGCUCUAUUCGGAUUUCUCUGGGCAUUCAUGGUAUCUACCAUAAACCCUUUAAUGAGUUUAUUAUAGAUUCUCAUUUUAUUUAUACUCUGUCAUAGACUCUGAGUUAUUUUUUUCACUGCUGUACUUCUUAUAGAUUUGGAUCUAUGAGGCAUUUCCUCAUCUUGGAGAAUUUGCUAGAAAGUCAAUGGAUGAGCCCUUUUCCAUUCCCUGCAUCCUCAGGUGGCACACUACAAAAGUGACAAGAUAAUCGAAGGCGACCCAUUCAAGUAUAAAGGAAAAGUUACCGAGGUAUGAACUUAUUUCUAUUAUGCAAUAAUACUACUAUUGUAUCGAAUGUUAUGUAAUUAUUAUUUGAUAUUCUAUAGAAUGUGCACCCAUACAUCAUCCCUAUUGUUCGUGAGACGAAGAUGGAUUACAUGAUUACGUUUGAGCCAUAUAUGGAUGAGGUGAAGAAUAACGUCCUCGAUGGCUUGAAGAAAGAGUUAGAAGGGGUGAUUGUCCUUACUUUAAAUGAGGACAGUGAUAAUGAUAGGGAUUUGGGUGGUAACCCCAUUAGAGUACGUGUUGGUGAUGAUGAUUCUCUGAGCACCUCCGAAGAUAUAGUGGGAACCUCAUCCCUUGGGGAUCUUCAUAAGUGUGUUGCUACACUCGAGGAAGCGGUGUUGGAUAUUACUACCAAUAUAAGAGAGAAAAGAAUGAAGAAAAAGGAAAAGGAUGAGCGACAACACGAGUGAGGUAACUUCAUUCAAUAAUUGAUGUUGUUAAUUUAUUUUCAGCUUUGAAUAUCAGUAACACUUUGUAAUAUGAUGAUACAGUACAUGUGGACCUUCGUGAAUUAGAGAGGAAUGAAAAAGGAAAAAAAAAGCAAAAUGGAUGAGUAGGCCUCUGUUGUGGCAGAAGAGGAAAAAGAAGAAGAAAAGAAGAAAUGGAAGAAGAUAAGAGCCAAGAAGAAGGUGGAAAAGUAGCAACUGUAGAAGCAAAAGAAGAAGCGGCAGCAGAUGAACAAGAAGGCAAUGAAAAAGAAAGAGCUAAUGAAGAAGAAACUGACAAAAACGAAGUUGAGAAAGAAGCAGCAGGUGAACAAAAAGAAGAAGCUGAGGAAGAAACAGCUGCAACAGGUGAAGAAAGAGAAGAAGGUGUGGAAGAAAAGGAAACUGAAGAAGCACCAGCUACUGUAGAUUCUUAAAAAGAAGAAGAAGAAGGUGAGAAUGAAGAAGCAACUACAGCUGUUGAGAAAAAAGGAGCUGAAGCUGACCAAAAAGAUGUGGCCAUGGACAUUGUUGAUGAAAUCAACAGUAACACUUAUGCUGAUGAGGAACUUAGGGAAAAAGACAUUUGAAUCCCAAGUCGUUUAAUGUGUUGUUGAAUGAUGAGUUGUUAGGACAUGACAAUUUUUUUAUUUUAAAAAUAUGAAGGUUGAAGGAUCUGGUGGUAGGAUAUGACAAUUAUUCUUUUAUUUUAUGAAACUUGUAAUGAUUCUGCACCGAAUCUGUUUCUAUCAAAUUGAUUUAUGGCAUGGAAUUUGAAUAUGCAGGGUGUGGUCAUAGUUGGUACAGUGUAUGCUUGAUAUCAUAGAAUGCAUACUUAAUAUUUCAUAUACCGUAUGCAUAGUCUAUCAUUACCCUACUGGUUGAAUUUUACUUGACGUGUUGUUUAAUCGACUACGAUUCUAUCAAAAAGAGUAUUAACAUUACAAAAAAAUAGAACUAUUAUUAUUUGUCCAAUAUCACUACAUCCAUGUUACACUUUUCCAAAGAACGAAUACUAGCAUUAUAACACAUAACAUCACUUUUAGAAAAUUCUCCCUUUCUUCGGCCAAAAUCAAUUUUUGUUUUAGUUGAUACCUCUUUAUUUGGGUGUCAUGUAGCAAUAGUUUAAAGUGAUCCCUCUGUUCUUCGGCUUCUUUGAACAAAGUCAUGAGAAAAUCUUUAUUUUCUUCGCAUUGUUGGAGCCUUUGUAGUAGAUUAAAUUUUGCCAAGCCUUGAAAAUUUAAUGUCUCGAGUCCUGGACUCAACUUUGAUGGACUGGUUGGAGGUGAUAGAUCAUCAAUCCAUUUAAAAAAUGAGCAUGUGCCAUUAUCCUAGUAAAAAAAAUUAUAAUUACAUAAGGAUUAACUUAACAAAAAAAAAAAAAAAAAAAAAAAAACACCUCACCUUUGUAAUUGCACAGUUAUAAAAUUUACGACCUGAAUUUGAAUUCGUGUGUGAUGUCCUCAAGACAGCCGCAUUCCCAUAAUGAAAAAUUAGAGUAUUUUUAGAAUUGGAUGUUUGAGAUGCUUGCGACAUUGUAGAAUUUUUAAAAAUAAAACAAAGUGAAUGAAAUAAAAUAAUGAGGGAUGGACACCUUAUAUAUGAAGUAGAAACGAAGUGUUAAAACUGAUGGCUUGCAAAAGUAGCUGUUUAUUACCGUUGGUAAAAUAAUUUUUCUUUUUUGAACUGGUGGUGACACUUAAUAGACCGUCGUAGAUUAUGACCUAUGUCAACCAUCUAUUAGUCUGGUAUACAAUAGACUUACACCUUUAGUAGUGCAUCGAUUGAUAUCCUGAUUAUGCGUAGACUACGGUGAUCUAUGUACACUUCUAUAGACCGUCACUUGGAUGUAGUUAAAAAAUUAAUAAAUAAAUUAAAAAUAAUUUAAAUAAAUAAUCACAUGUUUUGGGGCUGUUGGAAGAAAAUAAUUAAAUUAAAAAUGAUUUAAAUAGAUAAUCACAUGAUUUAAAUAGAUAAUCUUGAACUGUUGGUGACACUUAUAGACUCCCAUAGAUGUUGACCCAUGUCAAAUUCAUGCAAAAAAUAUACUUGUGCUUUGAGGGUCCAUAGAUUAGUCUGGUCUACCGUAGACUUGCACAUUUAGUAGUGCAUCGAUUGAUAUCAUGAUUAUGCUUAGACCACGGUGAUCUAUGUACACUGUUAUAGACCAUCACAUGAAGUAGUUAAAAAAUAAAUAAAUAAAUUAAAAAUAAAUGUAGUAUGAAUUUCUACACAUGUGAAGGAGUGUAAACAAGUCACAUAAUCAUAUUAGAGCUUAAACAAAUUAGGGGGUGAAUUAAGGAGUGUGUGGAUGGGUAGUGGUUGAAUGUUCAAUAUCGUAAAUGUAAUGUUUGUCAAAGAACAAGUAUGUUUUGAGGAUAUGUAUUGUAUUUGAUGACUACACAUUCCACAUACUCCUUCCAUCACUACCCCUAAAUCAAAAGAGUGUGUGAAAUUGAUAGUAGUAGAACAAUCAUCAUCCUCAAUACAUACUUGUGCUUUGACAAAUAUUACUCUUAGGAUACAGAACAUUCAACCAUUACCCAUGCACACACGCCUUAAUUCACCCCCCUAAUUUGUUUAAGCUCUAAUAUGAUUAUGUGACUUGUUUAUACUCUUUCACAUGUGUAGAAAUCCACACUACAUUUAUAGUUUAUUUAUUCAUGUUUUAACUACAUCCAAGUGAUGGUCUAUAACAGUGUACAUAGAUCACUUGGUCUACGCAUAAUCAUGAUAUCAAUCGAUGCACUACUAAAGAUGUAAGUCUACGGUAGACCAGACUAAUCGAUGGCUGACAUAGGUCAUGAUCUACGACGGUCUAUUAAGUGUCAUCACCACUCCAAGAUUAUCUAUUUAAAUCUUUUUAAAUUAAAUUAUUUUCUUCCACUAGCCCCAAAACAUUUGAUUAUCUAUUUAAAUCAUUUUUAAUUUAAUUAUUUUCUUCCACCGACCCCAAAACAUAUGAUUAUCUAUUUAAAUCAUCUUAUAUUUAAUUAUUUUCUUUCACUAACCCCAAAACAUGUGAUUAUCUAUUUAAAUUUAUUUUUAUUUUAAUUAUUUUCUUCCACAUGUCCCAAAACAUGGGAUUAUCUAUUUAAAUCAUUUUUAAUUUAAUUAUUUUCUUCCACCAGCCACAAAACACGUGAUAAUCUGUUUAAAUCAUUUUAAUUAAAUUAUUUUUUUAAUAAUCUACUAUUAUUUGUUUUAAUUUAUAUGAUGAACCAUCGAUUCACAUAGUCUACGAUCGACUAAUAUGUACAGUCGAGGAAAUACUGAGUAUACAAUCGACGAUAGACUAUAUAUUACUUUUUAAUCUUCAGGAAAUUAGUCAAGCUAUAGUACUGUAAAUUGAACAAGGUAUACAUAGUUGAUUCGAGUUUUUGUCUGUACAAAAGAACAACCGCCACAUUCAAAAACCAAGGGUUCAGAACAAAGAUGGUAACAUAAUGUUAAAACAAACUGAAACAUACUUAUAUUAAACAUGUUCAUUGCAUUACAUAAUAAUAUUUAUAGAAAAAGGGGAAAAAUAGAAGAAGCUUUCUUCUAACAAAAUCCUACAAAGAAAGAUUCUUCAGCAAUGAACCAAAAAAAACUUAAAAACAUGAUCUAAAAUUAAAAAUUAAACUAAAUUAUGGGUAUGGUGGGGGUGAUGUAGUUGUUGCCGUCCAUUCCAAGAUACUCCAAAAUUUCUUGGAGGAAACGAACAAUUCAUCGGAGAUCACACUCUUAAGUACUGUCGAUCUUCUCCCAGGUUGUAGAAAAGACGAUCAAAGCCAUUUCGAAGAAGCAUCAGAUCAUAGUGACGAGGGGGGACUCGUCUGAUUGGGCGAAGGAAAAUUCUGCGACCAGGCAUGAUUUCAGUUUUUGGUGAAGAAGAAGAAGAAGAGGGUUCCUGAUAUUUUCGAUUUAGGGAUAAGUGAAGGGUUACGUAGAAAGAGAGACUAUACUUUAGACCUAUAGAUGGCGUCCAUUCAUAUAUCCACCCAAUGGUAGGUUGACGUGUGUGAGUAGAGAAAACGCUUGGUUUGCGUAUACCAGCGGUUUUUCUCGUGAACAGAUAUUUUGUGAAGCUUUAUAUUAAAUGGAAAUGGGAAACAAAGGAAACAUUGAUUCAUUGCAUCGAUUGGAGAGAUAAGGGAGGAACAUGACCAACAUAGGGUGUUAGAUGAGCAAUAAUAUAAUAAAUACAUAAUAUUUUGUAGACGUUCUGACAUAUACACCGUAGACUUUACGUAGUCUAUAGUAGACAAUAUUUUAAGUCGAUUACAACUUGAUAACGGAAUCAACCCACAACACAGAAACAAGACACAAAAUAUAAGACAAAUCAAGGACCAAAAGGGGAACAAGUCUAGGUCAACAAUAAUACCACAAGAACGAGAUGAUACAAGGUGUAUUUUACACCAAAAACAGCCAAAAACAAGAUUAACACGAGAUAAUAAGACAACAACAACAUGAUAACUACAAUACACCGCUUUACUAGAACAACCACACAAACACGAUUACAAGAAGUGUAAGGAUAGGAAGUGAGACAUCAACUCUAACAAGAACUAAGAACCUAAGUGUAUGUAACACACUAAGACCCUUAAUAGUUGUAAUAGGCAACACCAAUACUCUUACAAUGACACAAGAGGGCAUGAACCACUCAAGCACCAAUGUUUCUAACAAUGUUUGGCGAUACUAGCAAUUCCACCCUAGCAUCAGCCUCAUUUCAUAUUUGGUGACUUUUUCAAGCCUUAAACUAAGGUGGUACACUCCUCACACUAGAGAGAGUUUGGUUCAAGUGUUACAACUUUCAAUAUCAAUAAAAAAAACUAAAGAACUAAAGACCUAAAACUAGUAUAUUUAUAGACUUAUUACAAACAUAAGUGAAAUAUCCCAAAAUCCCUUAAUGAAGGGAAGACAAAAGGUACCUAUGGAGUAUAGUGUAUGGCUGGUUCUUGGUGUGUGAUAUGGUGUUCCUUUGCACUUCACUUGUACACUUCAAGUCUCAGGUUCGACGCGUACUCUCAUAAGUUCUUCUCCAUGAUUAUUCUUGUAUCCUCCUCUCCAUCUUGAGAGUAAUUUUCCCACUAAUUCACGGCUUCACCUCGUUCAAUUGGCCACUUAAAGGAAGCCACUCAAAAUAGUCCAAAAAACAUGGAGAACCCGCAAGCUCAAUAACAACAAGUCUCAGCUGACAUCUUCAUUUUAAAUCUUGGAUUUCUCUCCAUGUUGAGCUUUACCUUCAAUCUCAUCCGAUUCAAAUCUCCUACCAUCAUACAAGCAUUGUCGUAGACCCCAUAUCCUUCACGUUCCUUUCUACCCUUCUUCUCUACAUGGACAAAUCCAUUCUGGUAAAGUGGAUCUUCGGUCAAGUGGGUUGGUUUAGUGAAGCGGAUCUUCGAUUGUGGAGCUUGGAUGUGAGGAAUUUGAAUUGGUGAAAUUUGAUGCCUUUGGUUAAGUAGAUCUUGGAUGGGAGGGUUCGGUUUUAGAAUAGGCAUUUGGUGUCCAAGUCCUUGCUGGACUUGAUCGAAUUAUGGGGAAAUAGGCCUAGUUGUGUCUUAGUUUUAAGGGAUAUUUGGAGCUUGGCUUGUGGCAUUAGGUGAUGGUCUUGUAGGAUUGGUCAUUGGAAGUAAAGUGUCGGGAGUAAAAGCAAUAAAGUUCAUUCGACUCUCCAUUCGAUCCAACCUCUCACUCAUAGUUACCACAUACGAGCCAAUUUUUUCAAGACCUGUAUUUGGCCUAGCAAGGUCUCGGGACAUAGCAUCAAGGAGGGCCAAAAUGAUAGUUAUAGUAUUGUGGUCCACCGUGGGUUGAGGGGAUGAGGUCUCGGGUUCCAUUGCUCCAAAAUAGUCCACAAUGUCAUAAAAACAGCCAAUAAAGGACACAAAAUUAGUCCUAAAAUGUCAGACACAACAACACCAACAAAGUUUCAAGUCUUGAACCACAAACAACAAUACCACACAAAUUAAACUCGUAUUGUUGUUGUAGUUGAAGUAUGAUGUUUUUCAAACUUGAGUUGUUAAAUCUCUCUCCUUGAUGAUGAAUUUUUGAUUGUAGUGUAGGUGGAAAAGGCUUUGGACUCUCUUUUCAAGAGUCAAAGGCUUCCAUAAACUUUUCACCAGCUUGCAGUAAUUUGGAAAAACACCUUUUUGUAGUAUCCUUGUCUCUUUCCUCUUUUGGCGUUUCUUGAAAAGUGUUUGUCACCCUUUUAGUAAGUAAACUUUUUGGGUGCCCUUUAUUUCUUUACCACUUUGGUGUUGUCUUGAAAGUAUUCCCAAGUAAAACAAAAAGCCUUGUCUCUCUCAUCUCUUUUCAAAAUCAAAAAACUCCUUUUGUUGAACACCACUUCAAGAACAAUAUGAACAACAACAAGAACAAUAUGAAUAAUAACAACCUCUUAGCCGUCCACCCUUCAACAACACUUUGACAAGAGCUCAAAUCUUGGACUUUAGACUCAAGGGGUGUUAGUGAACAAAAAUAUAACACAAGAAACUACUAAGACAACAAAAGCACACAGAAAUAUAGACACAAAUCUUGUCCCAAAACAACAACAAGACACAAUUUCGGCCAAGACAACAAGAAUGAACAGAUUUGCUUCUUUUUAGAAUUUUCAGUUUUUCAACCCUUAGUUUUUUAUUUUUCAACUUAGAGAGCCUAAGAUUGGUAGUGUAGGAACACAACCAUCCUUAUCUUUGAUACCAAAUAAUAACGAAAUCAACCCACAACACGAAAACAAUACACAAAACACAAGACAAAUCGAGGACCAAAAGGGGAACAAGUCUCAGCCAACAAUAAUACCACAAGAACGAGAUGAUACAAGGUGUAUUUUACACCAAAAACAGCCAAAAACAAGAUUAACACGAGAUAAUAAGACAAAAACAGCAUGAUAACUACAAUACACGGCUUUACUAGAACAACCACACAAGCACGAUUAUAAGAAGCGUAAGGAUAGGAAGUGAGACAUCAACUCUAACAAGAACUAAGAACCUAAGUGUAUGUAACACACUAAGACCCUUAAUAGUUGUAAUAGGUAACACCAACACUCUUACAAUGAAACAAUAGGGCAUGAACCACUCAAGCACCAAGGUUUCUAACAAUGUUUGGCAAUACUAGCGAUUCCACCCUAGCAUCGCCCUCAUUUCAGAUUUGGUGGCUUUUCCAAUCCCUAAACUAAGGUGGUAAACUCCUCACACUAGAGAGAGUUUGGUUCAAGUGUUACAACUUUCAAUAAAGAUAAACAACUAAAGACCUAAAAGUAGUCUAUUUAUAGACUUAUUACAAACAUAAGUGAAAUAUCCCAAAAGCCCAUAAUGAAGGGAAGACAAAAGGUGCCUAUGUAGUGUAGUGUAUGGCCGGUUCUUGGUGUGUGAUAUGGUGUUCCUUUGCACUUCACUUGCAUACUUAAAGUCUCGGGUUCGACGCGCACUCUCAUAAGUUCUUCUCCGUGAUUAUUCUUGUAUCAUCCUCUCCAUCUUGAGAGGAAUUUUCCCACUAAUUCAUGACUUUACCUCGUUCAAUUGGCCACUUAAAGGAAGACACUCAAAAUAGUCUGCAAAACAUGGAGAACCCACAAGCUCAAUAACAACAAGUUUUACCUGACAUCUUCAUUUUAAAUCUUGUCUUCCUCUCUAUCUUGAGUUUUACCUUCAAUCUCAUCUGAUUCAACUCUCCUACCAUCAGACAUGCAUUGUCGUAGACCCCAUAUCCUUCAUGUUACUUUCUACCAUUCUUCUCUACAUGGAGAAAUCAAUUCUGGUAAAGUGGAGCUUCGAUCAAGAGGGUUGGUUUAGUAAAGAGGAGCUUCGGUUGUGGAGCUUGGACGGAAGGAAUUUGAAUUGGUGAAAGUUGACGCCUUUGGUUAAGUGGAUCUUGGAUGGGAGGGUUCAGUUUUAGUGUAGGCAUUUGGCAUCCAAGUCCUUGUUGGACUUGAUUGAAUUGUGGGGAAAUGGGCCUAGUUAUGUCUCGGUUUUGAGGUCUAUUUGGUGCUUGGCUUGUGGCAUUAGGUGAUGGUCUUGUAGGAUUGGUCAUUGGAAGUAAAGUGUCAGGAGUUAAAGCAUGAAAGUUCGUUCGACUCUCUAUUCGAUCCAACCUCUCACUCAUAGUUACCACAUACGAGCCAAUUUUUUCAAGACCUGUAUUUGGCCUAGCAAGGUCUCGGGACAUAGCAUCAAGGAGGGCCAAAAUGAUAGUUAUAGUAUUGUUGUCCACCGUGGGUUGAGGGGAUGAGGUCUCGGGUUCCAUUGCUCCAAAACAGUCCACAAUGUCAUAAAAACAGCCAACAAAGGACACAAAAUUAGUCCUAAAACGUCAGACACAACAACACCAACAAAGUUUCAAGUCUUGAACCACAAACAACAAUACCACACAAAUUAAACUUGUAUUGUUGUUGUAGUUGAAGUAUGAUGUUUUUCAAACUUGAGUUGUUAAAUCUCUCUCCUUGAUGAUGAAUUUUUGAUUGUAGUGUAGGUGGAAAAGGCUUUGGGCUCUCUUUUCAAGAGUCAAAGGCUUCCAUAAACUUUUCACCAGCUUGCAGUAAUUUGGAAAAACACCUUUUUGUAGUAGCCUUGUCUCUUUCCUCUUUUUGCUCUUCUUGAAAAGUGUUUGUCAUCCUUUUAGUAACUAAGCUUUUUGGGUGCCCUUUGUUUCUUUACCACUUUGGUGUUGUCUUGAUAGUAUUCCCAAGAAAAACACAAAGCCUUGUCUCUCUCUUCUCUUUUCAAAAUCAAACAACUCCUUUUGUUGAACACCACUUCAAGAACAAUAUGAACAACAACUAGAACAAUAUGAACAAUAACAACCUCUUAGCCGUCCACCCUUCAACAACACUUUGACAAGAGCUUAAAUCUUGGACUUUAGACUCAAGGGGUGUUAGUGAACAACAAUAUAACACAAGAAACUACUAAUAAAACAAAAACACACCGAAAUAUAGACACAAAUCUUGGCCCAAAACUACAACAAGACACAAUUUCGGCCAAGACAACAAGAAUGGACAGAUUUGCUUCUUUUUAGAAUUUUCAGUUUUUCAACACUUAUUUUUUUUAUUUUUCGACUUAGAGAGCCCAAGAUUGGUAGUGUAGGAACUCAGCCUUAGCUUUGAUACCAAAUGACAAUAGAAUCAACCCACAACACGGAAACAAGACACAAAACACAAGACAAAUCGAGGACCAAAAGGGGAACAAGUCUCGGCCAACAAUAAUACCAUAAGAACGAGAUGUUACAAGGUGUAUUUUACACUAAAAACAGCCAACAACAAGAUGAACAUGAUAUAAUAAGACAACAACAAUAAGAUAACUACAAUACACAACUUUACUAGAACAAGCACAUAAACACGAUUACAAGAAGUGUAAGGAUAGGAAGUGAGACAUCAACUCUAACAAGAACUAAGAACCUAAGUGUAUGUCACACACUAAGACCCUUAAUAGUUGUAAUAGGCAACACCAACACUCUUACAAUGAAACAAUAGGGCAUGAACCACUCAAGCACCAAGGUUUCUAACAAUGUUUGGCAAUACUAGCGAUUCCACCCUAACAUCACCCUCAUUUCGAAUUUGGUGGCUUUUCCAAGCCCUAAACUAAGGUGGUACACUCCUCACACUAGAGAGAGUUUGGUUCAAGUGUUAUAACUUCCAAUAUCAAUACACAACUAAAGAAAUAAAGACCUAAAAGUAGUCUAUUUAUAGACUUAUUACAAACAUAAGUGAAAUGUCCCAAAAUCCCUUAAUGAAGGAAAGACAAAAGGUGCCUAUGGAGUGUAGUGUAUGGCUGGUUCUUGGUGUUUGAUAUGGUGUUCCUUUGCACUUCACAUGCACACUUCAAGUCUUGGGUUCGACGCGCACUCUCAUAAGCUCUUCUCCGUGAUUAUUCUUGUAUCAUAACUGAAUGUUAAAAUCUACAAAAAAGCACAUUUAGCCUCCAAAACAGUAGUUUUACAACUGAAGCUAAAGAAAAAGCCUAUUGAUGAUUUGAUGGCCAUUCUAUAUGUGGUUUUUUUUUUGCCUGAAUUUCUUGCAUAUUGAACACCUAUCCCUCCUUUUGGACUUAAGUGUCUCACCGACUCCCUUAGUGAAUUUGAAUUUCUUCCUUCCGAGUUUAGGAUCAUAGGGGGGUGGAGAAAUUUUAGUGUCUAACAAUUCCUGUGGCGCAGUUCAUUCGGCCUUUGGAGGGAUAACGUUAAUUGCUUCCGAGUAUGCGAGGAGGUAACUUUCAUCUUUAUAAAUUGGCAAAGAGUAGUCAUAGAUGGAGUUUCCAUAACCUUCACUAUCGCCAUACUUUGAUCACAAAUAUGCCAUCGCAUGUUCGCACGACAUUUUCUCCAAGUCAAAUUUUCGACAAGAACAACUCCUCUCCAAGAGAUUGACCUUGGUAGUAAUGUCGUUGCCAAACAUCGUAUACUGGUUGAGAACCCCGUUUGGUUUACUCACAUACAAGGAAUCGCUCUCACUCUUAUUAUCCCUUAGGAUCCUUUCCGCAUAAGGCACAAAUUUAUUCUCUUUACUAUCGACAAAGGCAUUCGCUCCCUAAACUCUUCACCAAAUUUUCUAGCAAUUGAAUUGAAUAUGUACGACACGGGUACUCCCAUUCAUCCAUCAAAAUUGAGUUGAGCGACUCAGCGAUGUUUGUGGUCAUCACGUCGUACCUAAUUCCCAGAAAGUGUGCUCUACUCUAUUUUUCAAAACCAAGUACAUUUUCAAGGACAUGUGCUGCCUCGAGGAAAUUACUCUUCAAUUUCGUAAAAUUUUCGCUAAACUCAUCAAAGGAAUAAGCCUUUGCCGUGGUAUAGAAUAGAUAAAGAUGUUCUCCGCUGUGUUGAUUUAAGCAAAGAUUUUCAGCGAGGUACCUCAUGCAAAGUCCGUGAUGUGCAUGACUGUACACAUGGGAGAAGUCAUUGGGGAUGCUAAUAUGUCUGUCGGAGAUGACACAUAGAUCUGGUUCAUUUUCUAUGAUAGACUUCAGUUUCUAGAAGAAGAAGGUCCAAGAAUCAUCGUUCUCUUUAUCGAUGAUACAAAAGGAAAUCGGAAAGAUAUGAUUUUCAGUGUGCUGUGCAACGACACUUAACAGAACGCCCUCGUACUUGCCAUACAAAUGUGUUUCAUUGACGACAAUUACCUCUCUCAUGUGGGCAUAUCCCUUUAUGCAAGCUCUGAAUGCUAAGAAGUAGUAAACGAACGAUCUAUUCAUUUGGUUUACCAUGAUAGAAUAAGAAGACUCGGGAUUCAAUAACUCCACCAUGUGGAAAAAAUCCAGCAAACAAGCACAUCCGUGCUCCAGUGUCCCACGAAUGAUGUUCUUCGCAAUUACACUUCCUUUCCAACACACCAAUAGCUUGCGUUGCAACGCAAUUCCUUAAACGUAAUCCUUUGAGUUUAUCUUAUGCUUGGACCCUUACCAUCUUAAAAAUGAUUUACGCAUACUGAAGCAAUCAAUUUGAAUAAAACUUUCUUAUGCCUGCAGGUGGCGUGUUCAACACUAGAUGUGUGCAACCCAACAUACUUGUAUAUGCAAAAUCUGUCCAAGGUGUCAUACCUUUUUGCCUGCAACAACCAGCCACAACCACGACAUAAGCAUUUUACCUUAAUAAAUUUUAUGCAGCUCUUCUCCAUAUAAUAAUCAAAAGACUGCCUCGCCGUUGUUGCAUCUAGUAGCAUCUUUAGCUCUUUCUUAUCGGCGAAUGUUUGACCACAACAGAAAUUGGUUCUGUCGGUGAAGGAGUGUCCUGGUUGUGAUCCAAUUUCAUGAUAUUUUCCAUCAUCUUUCAAGUCCAAUGAAAAGUCUUCCAUAUGCAUAGAAUCAUCUUCCAUAUUAAUUGGAUGAUCGCCAUUGUUCUCGUAAUUAUUCAAAUCAUCAUCGAUCAAUCAUCGUUGACUGUUGGGCACCACGGUGAGGGUGCUUAUGAAUUCAGCGGUCUUUAAAAGGACCUCUCAACCAUAUUUAUCCUCAAAAUAGGCUUAAAGCCAUCUGCAUCUGCAUCCAUUAUGUACGUCAGCACACAUACAUUGAUAUUUAUGAUCGUAGGAUUCACCUUUUCCCUUGAAUGCAUUAGAUAACUAAUCACCACACCUCUCGGCAUGCAAUCUAGAUCUCUGCUCUGUAUUACGCUUGCAACAAAUUCGUCAUACGAACUAUUGCAGCGAACAGGAAUGAAAAUUAUCAUCUUGGUAAUGAUCUCCAUUUUCAACAUUUGGGAGUCUCCACCCAUUCUCCCAUGAAAUCACCAGAAAUCAGAACAAAUUCUGUAAUAGACAUUCUAGAAUUAAGCUUUGGCCGAUGGUAGAUUAUGCUUAGGGUCUAUGUCGGGAUGUAUGCACAGUCGAUGACUGACGAUGACGGGUCGAUGGUUGCGCAGAUAUCCGUACAAAAACCUAAAAUUACAAAUAUUGCUUCUUAUCAAUGAUUGAUGGGUUUAUGGAAUAGAGAAAUGAACUUGGAGUCGCCUGAGUUGCUAUAAUGCACUUUCUAAAGUGUUUUGAGUAAUGUGAGUGAUUUAAAGAUUUUUAACAAUGAUGGAAAGUGUGUUUGAGAAGAUAGAAAAUAAAUGGGGUAAAAAUGGAUACAAUGGACAAGCUUAUGAUGUUUGUGGACUGAUUUACAGCUGAUCGCCAGAAAAUAAUGCCGGAACCAGAGCUUUUUGGAGGAAAAAAUAACCACCUUCUAUUUUUAGCUUUUGGAAUUUUUUUUUAAUAUUUUUAGAAAACCUAGAUAUUUUUGUAUAUAUAAUGGUGGAUGACGGAGUGGGUUGAAGUGUAUUAUUAGAAACUUGUGGGUGAAUUUAUUAAGUUGGAAGUAUUGGGUUAAAGUGAAUUAUUAUAAAAGUUGGAGCUGAAAUUAUUAAGUUAGAAAAGUUGGUGGUGAGGUGGAAUUAUGUGGGUAUUUGGCCAAUUUUUUAAAAUUUUGGGUAUUUGGCUUAAUAAUUUUGAAAAAGAGGUGUUUUGGCAUACUUAUAUACAAGGAGUAAUGGUCGAUGUAAGUUGACUCAAGUUGAGACGUUCACCAAAACUUAAUCGAUAGACUCAUCUUUGAGUUACGGGAUUUUUGUGACCUCAAUUCAUGUUAAAAGGUAUUCACACACUAUAGGAUUGAUCAUCACACAUAUAUUAGCAAAGAAUCAUUGAGUUUGGUUCUAUACGCGUAGAAAAGACGAUUCAAAUUUUAGCCUAAAAGUGCAGGGUGUUACAUUAUCUCCCCCUUGGGAUUAUUCGUCCCCGAAUGAUGAGUAAGAAUUUGUUGAAGCUCCAAAAAUAUGGAAUAAAGGACGUAACCUUACUCUAAGAAUUUCCUCAGAAGGAAACAUACGUAGACCUCAAGAAGCCCAUUCAUGAUGCCACCAAGUGAAUCGUGCAAGAACGAAGCGUGAGAUGAUGAAAAUUGACAUAGAGAUGACCUUGUACAUGAAUUCUAGGUAUCAUGAUCAUCGCAACAUAUGGUAUGAGUUUAUUUGGUGAUCAUAGGCUUGAUUUUCAUCGGUACUAAUCAUGAAAUAAGAUUUUGCGGAAGAUAGGGAUAGAAGCAUUCUUCACCGUACAAUUUAAAAUGAAUGAACCUCACUUAGAGACACGACUCGACUAUGCACCAAAUAAUAAAUAAACAACAUACUUCAUAAUUUCCACUUAUAAUUCUCCCAUAAAACAUCUAAACACAAGAGUUUGAGUCCCACUGCAUAGUACUUUUAUGUUGAAGCCUAACUCGGAGGAAAGAGGUGCUAGCUUUAGCUACGGGACCCUGUACUCUAUAUCCCAUUUAAGAAAAUUACUUCACCUUAUCACCAUCAUCAAACUUACUCGAGUUUUAUGUCAAGUUGCACCAACCACAUAACCCAUUAGUUUGUAUUUUCAUCAAUUACAAUAUUCAAGCCUAUCAUCACUACACCCACUUCAUUGAUCUCCCUACUAAGACCAGCUAAUUCAAUCAUUAUCACUAAGAUUUUCUCCAUAUAACUCCUUCUUAACUAUCUCUCGUAACAAAAGUUCAUCUCCUUCUUCCCCCUUCUCAUAUAACCUUAGCUCAGGAUAUAACAUCAAAAUUUCCAUCUUAAAAAACAUCUACUCCCCCACCUAACUCACUACUACGCUUCCACAACCACCAUCAUACUAACAUACGGAGGGUCAUUAAGGGACCCGAGCAUAAGAAUCAUGAAUGGAAGUAACACUACUCAAUUAUAAUUUAUACUUAUAGCACUACUCAAGGUGGGAUAUGCGUUGAAGAUGUGAUGCAAUAGACAUAAAUUACUUCAUACAUCAGAUGUCUAGAUCAUAAAUAGAGAGUCAUUCGGGCAUAAACACAACACAACGUGGUUUCAUAGGACAGGCCACAAUAAGAAACAUGGGUACACAUAUCAUGAGCUAUAUGACAUAAAUCCGAAAUUUAUGUAGUUAACAACUAAGACAAGGAUUGCCACUUGACGUGAUUGAUCCUCAUUUAAAGAACUGAAAUUUUCCAUGAGUUAUCUUUAUCACUUUGGUUAAUUCCGACAUAAAAUGAUUCAGUGACAUAUAGAAACAUAUUUUCUUAGGACCAAACAUGUUGUGAAACGUAGAUUUGGAUCAUGAGCAACAUAAUAUAUGGCUUGGAUACUUGGAAUAUUAGAUCACUGAGGGACAUUAUUGCUUCUUGUUUGGAGGUCGAAACAUGACAUGAGUUAUAUAGAGAGCUUAAACCUUAGUCAUAGGCAAUACAUGAAUGCAUAAGAUAUUGGUAGAUGUCCAUUCAAAUCGAAGUAGGAGGAGUUUGCUUGAAUAGAAAUUAAUUUAUCAUGAUUCUUACUUGAAAUUUGAUUGGGGAUUAUGGCACCAUGCUUUGUGGUCUGGCGUGCCCCCCUUACCGAUACUCCAAUCCUUGCGGCAAAUUUGGAUUGGGGGCGUGGCCACCGAGUCAAGGGCGGAUCCCAUAUAGCCAGUGGGAUUGUAGACUUGUAGUGGUUACUGUCUAGCUCAGGGGUAACACAAAGAGUUGAGUUGGGAAUUUUCAGAAAUGUUUUUAAGCUUAUUGAUUAUUCCCAUGUAUUUUUCAAAUGUUUUACACUGACAUAUUUUUUAUGAAAUGCCCUCACCUAUGUUGUAUAAAAAUAUAUUUUAUUUUUGGAUUGUUAUACGUACCAGUACCUUGUGUAUUGACCCUCUAUAUUUCAGGUUCUGAGGUUCAGUCCCGUAGUCCAUCAUAUCAGUUGUUCAUCUUGGGUAAUGACAAAGUUGGUGAGCCGUCCAUCUUCCGGAAGACAUGUUAUUCGUAUGUAUAUCUAUAUCAGUUUAUAGUCCAGUCGGGGGCCUUGUCCCGGUUUAGAUCGCUAGUAUUCAGUAGAGGCUUCGUAGAUGGUAUUUGAAGUAUUGUAUUGUCAUAUUUAUUUGACACGGUUGUAUUAUAGGUUUCCAUUGUAUUUCAUUAUAUCUUCCGCACUUUGAUUUAUGCAUGGAUUAUGCUUAUGAUUUCAUACUGAGGGGUCUCUCGAGCCUUCUUGGUUCAGGAUACCCAUCACGGCCAGAGCCUCGGUUUGGAUUGUGACAGUGCUAGAUUUAUUAAGUUGGAAGGAAUAGAUGAUGACAUCAUAAAUGAUGUUUAUUUGACAUUUUUUUCAAGACUUGUUUCUAAAUAACAAAGAAAGUUUUCAAAGUGGGAAUUUGGCAACUUAACCCCUGUUAUCAAUAGACCCUCGUAUAAGUAAAAACAUUUAACAAAUUUCUAAGAUACAACAACUACAUCAACAAAAUACCCAGUGUAGUCCCACAAACGGGGUCUGGUAAGAUGGAGUGUAUGCAAACCUUACCGCUACCUUGGUAGGUAGAGAGGCUUUUUUGGAUAGACCCUCAGCUCAAGGAAAAGCAUUUAACAAAUUACUUGGAUAUAACAAUAACAACAACAUAUCCACUGUAGUCCCACAAGUGGGGUCUAGAGAGGGUGGAGUGGAUGCCUAUCUUACCUCUAGGGUUAGAAAGACUUUCUGAUACACUCUCGGCUCAAGAAAAAAUAUUUAACAAAUUGCUUAGAUACAAUAACAACAUCAUACCCAAUGUAGUUUCACAAGUGAGGUGUAGGGAGGCUAGCAUGCAGAACUUACCCUACACUAAUCAAAGUACCUUCAACUGCUGCUGAUGACAUUUAGUGUCAUUUCACAUGGUGAGACAGCUCUAGGAGUUAUUAUCUCAAACAAAUAGCAACCACUACAUAUGAGACAUUUCUAGGAGACUUUUUGCUACUCUCUAGAAUGAUCGAUCAUGACCAUCCCAACAAACAAAGAGCAGCAAUACUCAAUGACGCUCUAUGAUUCUUACUGGAAAACCAUGUUUCAUCCUUGAUGUGAUAAAUGCAUCAGAAUUUUGAGAUAAAUUGUCCUGAGCCGGAAUGAUUCGGAAGCGCUUUAGGAUGGUGACAGCCACCAUUUUCACUAUCACAACCUCAAUUUCUUUUCCUAAACAAGUCCUUGGCCCUGAAUGAAACACUGGAUAUGUGAAAGGGUCCCUCGCGAUGAAAUACCAUUCAUCACUACUACCACUUCUUCUCUCUAACCAUCUUUCUGGACGAAACUCAGCCAAUCUGAUCCCCACAAUUCUGGUGACGUAUCCAUAGCGAAUAUGUGGUAGAAUAUGGUCGUCCCCUUUUACACUUUUGUCCCAUCAGGCCAAACAUUGUCAUCCACUGCUUCUUUUGAGUCAGCUGGGAAAGGUGGGAAGAGUCUCAAGCUCUCAUAUAUAGAAGCAUGCAUGUAAACCAUGUCGCUCAGACGUCCAUCCUUCUCUCUAAUUUCUCUUACGCUCUCUUUUUCCACAUUCUGAUUACUCGAGACCAACCAAAAAAACCAUGUUAAAGCCGGACACAUUGCAUCGUGUCCUCCCAUGAUAAAGUUAACAGCAGUAUGAAUGAGAAACGUAUCAUCUAGUUGUUCAUACUUUGCCCUUCUCAAAAUUCUUACCAACACAUCCUUGUCCUCCAAAUCCUCCCUCGCUAACAAUCUUUCCUUCUUUUUUCUCAAUAAUAUUACCCAAAAAGUUGUGAAGUUCGUCAACCAUGAGCGUGAGUCUUUUCCGAAACUCGGUGUUAAAGAACUUUUUGGCUUUCUAUAUCAGGGGUAAGGUAGUGUACCUUAAAAUGCUCAACUUCGUCGCAGUUUUAUAAGUGUCAGCAAAAGGGGUUGGUGGGAGAGAAGGUAAUAAAUACUUCGGAUCGAAUCCAAACCCUAUUUGACAUACUGAAUCAAAUGUGAAUCGACGAAGUAUAUCCUGGAGAUCAAUUGUAGAUGCAGUUUUUUCUGCAUUACUUAAAAAAAGGGACAAGACGACUCGAGAGCUCUUCCUCUACUAUAGAUGUAUAAGCAUGAAACUCUUUUGGAUCGAAAUAAUGCUGCAAAAUUUGUCUUUGUGACUUCCACUCUGCGCCAUCGGAGAGGAAAAGGGCCUUCCCGAAUAAGUCUGAAAAUGCUUCUAUGACUGUUCUUUCUUUAUGAUAGUUAUUGAAGCGCGUCUUGAGAAUAUGCUUGACAUUGGAAGGGUCUUUAAUGCAUACGACCAUGUCUUCCAAAUGGAAAUUCAAGUGUAUAUGUGGAGAACGAUAUCUUGUCAAAUAUUUCACUAGUCCACUGGAUAAUUCGUGCGCGAUUUCUUAUGAAUUCCAACAAGCAACCAAUUAAGGGAUACGAUUUUGGGUAAACCUGAUUCUUCGUUGAAGAUACGAAGAAUAAAGAAAGAACGAACAAUCCCACAAGAGUAGAAAACGCCAAAUAGUAGCACGACCCUAUAUCCAUGGCUAACAUAGAUCUAACUAAUAUAAUUUCACUCUCGUUGUAUAAAACCUGAACUCAUUUUGAAUAUAUUUAUACACUGUGAAUUGCACAUUGUGCAAAAAGAUAAUGAACCAAUUGAGGCUAAAAAUAAUAUAUCUCUCUGAUCUCAACUACAAUCUGUCAUAAAUGAGAACAAGAGAAAUUAAGGUUCAUAUAAUUGCUGCUUUCAACUACAAUCAUAAAUGAAAAUAAAAGAUGUUGAUGGUCUUUGCUUACCUUGGGAAGUGGACAAAUAAUUAUGCAGCAUUUGAUUGGCAAGAGAUAAGAGUAUCUUAUCAGAAGGUGUGAUAUUGUCCACUUUGAGCCAAAUUCACACCGAUUUCCUAAUAGGCAGAGCCUAAUCUGGCAAGAACAAACUCCACUAAGUCAUCACCAGUAAUUGUGUGCUGCAAGGCAGCCAACUUAUCCGCAAUCACUUUUGCCCCUUGGACAUAACUUUCAAUAGUAGCAUUAUCAUGAUGUAAGUUGAUCAGUCCCCUGUACAAUUGCAUAUUAUGCCUACAAAUACAUCUUCUCUAUCUUUCGGAAAUCCCCUCAAAUACAUUGCUUACUGAAGGUGGUUGAUUUUGAACAAUCUGGUCCUUUAAGCAACGUGCAUCAUCCUAAUGAAUUGUCAAGCUCUUCAUCUAUGUCGACUACUAGAUCACAAAUAAGUUUACUAAAACCAAAGCGUCCCACCUCUUACUUAUCUAUGUCAUCUAAUGUCACUGAGCCUUCUUGUUACUCUCAAGCUACAAAACAUGCACAUUGAUGUAGGGCAAUGCAAGAGGAGUACAAUGCUCUCUUUCAAAAUGGGACUUGGCAGUUAGUUCCACCUUCUCCUUCUCAAAAUAUUAUUGGGAGUAAUUGGGUUUUCAAAAUAAAGGUUAAGCCCAAUGGGUCCAUUGAUCGUUACAAGGCUCGGCUCAUUGCUAAAGGGUAUCAUCAAAGAUCGGGUGUGGCCGAUGUUGAUACUUUUAAUCCAGUAGUGAAAUCUACCACCAUUCGCCUUCUUCUUUCCUUGGCUGUCUCAAACAACUGGUAUAUUACUCAAUUGGAUAUCUCUAAUGCUUUUCUGCACGGUACUCUUGAUGAAGUGGUGUACAUGUCUCAACCUUCGGGUUUGUUGAUCCCAAUCUUCCUAAGAAUUAUGGUCUUAAACAAGCUCCGCAUAUGUGGAAUAAAUGUCCAACAGACGCCUUAAUUUCUUAUGGCUCUAAUACCUCAAAAACUGAUUGCUUGUUAUUUCACUUGUCCUCCAACAGUGAUAUAUUAUUUUGCCUGGUGUAUGUCGAUGACAUUCUUGUUGUGGGAUCUAGUUCGACUCUUGUUGGUUCUCUUAUUACUCGCUUAAAGUCACAGUUCGCCGUGAGAGACCUUGGGCGCCUCUCUUAUUUCUUGGGGAUUGAAGCAUCAUUGACCCCACUGGUUUGCAUCUGUCACAACAUCAAUAUGCUACUGAUUUUUCAAGGAAAGCACAAAUGGAUGGCUACAAUCAUAUUUCUACACCUGCUGCAUCUUUGUUUAAACUUUCAAGUUUUGAAGGAUCUCCUUUCCAUGAUGAAACCUUGUAUCGCAACUGCAGGAGCCCUCUAAAUUUAACCUUCACUCGUCCUGAUAUAGCAUUUGCAGUGAAUAAAGUUUCCCAAUUGAUGCAUAAUUCGAUAGAGUCCCACUGGGUUGUAAAACUCAUUUUGUGAUAUAUACAGUCCACUCCCUCCCAUGGUUUGUACUUUGCUCGCCAAAAUACCAAACUUCUACAUGAUUACAGCGAUGCGGACUGGGGUGGUUCGGUGGAUGAUCGUACUUCGACUACUGGUUUUGCUAUCUUUCUUGGUUCUCAUUUAAUAUCUUGGGCUUCUAAAAAGUGGCAAGCAUUUGCAUGUUCUAGCACCGCGGCAGAGUAUUGUGCACUUGCCAGUACUGCUGCGUCGAAGCUAACUUGCCUGGAAUUCUUACUUCAUGAGAUUGGGUGCUUUGACACUACAACUCCUAUACUUUGAUGUGAUAACCUAAUUGCAACCAAAUAUAUGGAAAUUGACUUUCAUUUUGUCCGUGAAAAGGUGAAUAAUAAAUCUUUGGUUGUUCGUUGUCUUAGCACUCAUGAUUAGGUUGCAGAUGUCCACACAAAAAGUCUCCCAAAAGUACGAUUUCAACAUUUUAGGGACAAGUUGCCAGUGUAUGCUUCCCUGUUCAACUUUCAGGGGAGUGUGACGGAUAGACUUCUUAGAUUAAAUUCUUAUUAGAUUAAAACUAGGGAAAAGGUUCAAAUAUGCCACUGAACUAUCAGAAAUGACUCAUUUAUGACAUCAGAACCAGCCCAUCCAUGCCAUUACUUUUUAACGGUGGUUUUCAAAAACAACUUUGCCACGUGGUCUUUUAUUAGAGGUUCACGUCAUUAAUUAAAAUAAGCAAAAAGGCUCAAAUAUGUCAUUGAACUAUCAGAAAUAGCUCAUUUAUGCCAUCAGUUAAAAGUUCGGCUCAUUCAUGCCAUUACUAUUAUAAAAUCAACUCACUUAUGCCAUUACUUUUUAAUGAUAGGUUUUUAAAAAUAGUUUUGCCACGUGGUCUUUUAUUAGAAGUCCACGCCAUUAAUUAAAAGAAAUCAAUAUUAAUUUCAAAAUAUCUAAAAUUAGUUAGUAUCGGGAUUAUUUAUUCCAACAUUUAUACCAUAAUGAUGGGAGAAGUUAUCCCAUAUACAUGGCGGGAUAAUUGGAAUAGCAAACUUCUUUUAAGCCGUUAUUUGAAAAUGAUUUUUCAACAAUGUGUGCUCCACUAAUUCGUGAUGGGAGAAGUUAUUCCAUAUGCAUGGCGGGAUAAUUGGGAUAACAGACUUCUUUUAAGUCGUUAUUUGAAAAUGAUUUUUUCAAUAAUGUAUACUCCCUUAAUUCGUGAUGAGAGAAUGGAGAAGUUCUAUAUAUUGGUACGCCUCUUUCUUUUUCUUGCUGCCCUAAUCGUUCAUUGGUUUAUUUUCUUGCAACUUCAGAGUAUAUAUUGGAGUCACUGGAAUUAAAACUAAUCAAUUACUGUAGGGUAAAAUUUUUGAGGUUUCUGUUAAGCGUAGCAUUUACGAUGAUUUAGAAUCAACUAGAAAUAGUCAAAGGAUAUACAUUAAUCAUUAUUUUUUUUUAUUAGAAAAAUAGUUGUUGUAGGAAAAAAAAUAUUUUAAUGGGUGUGGGUGGGUUAUGUUAAAUGAAUUGGUUGUUUUUAAUGGGUCUAAGAUAUUUUACAAUUAAUAUUAACUUAUUUUAAUUAAUAUCACGGAGCUCUAAUAAAAGGCCACAUGACAAAACUGUUUUUGAAAACCCACCAUUUAAAAAUAAUGACAUGGGUGAGCUGAUUUUAUAACGACGAUGACAUGAAUGAGCUGAACUUUUAACUGGUGGCAUAAAUGAGCCAUUUCUGAUAGUUUAAUGGCAUAUUUGAGCCUUUUUUCUUAUUUUAAUUAAUGACGCGGACCUUUAAUAAAAGGCCAUGUGGCAAAGCUAUUUUUGAAAACCACCGUUAAAAAUUAAUGGCAUGGAUGAGCCGAUUUUGUAACGGCAAUGACAUGAAUGUGCCAAACUUUUAACUAAUGGCAUAAAUGAGUCAUUUCUGAUAGUUCAAUGGCAUAUUUGAGCCUUUUUCCUUAAAACUAUGCAAAGGUUGUGUAAGUUGUGAUGUAUAAGGCGACUAAUUCUCCUUAAUAUUUGACGGCUAGUUCCAUUACUUUUAAAAUAAAUUUCUAGUAUUGAAUAAAAUUAUUAUUAUAUUUAUUAUGGAUAAAUAUAACAUAUCAGAUUAAAAAAAGUCAUUUUAAAAUAUCUUAACAAGAUUUCUCAAAAAUCAAUUCGAGUUACAUAUCAACCCAAUUUCUAAAUGAUUGAAACGGUUUGAGUUGAAAUGAGUUGAGCUAAUAAAUGAACGGUCAAUAAUUAAAUCAAACUUGAACGGAUUAGACGGGUUGUGCAGGUCGGGUUUGAUUAAAAGGAAGGGCAAAAAUGAAAAAAAAAAAAAAGAGUCAACAAUUCUUUCAAUCUUUGAAUAAUUCACGUAUUUUAAAUAAUAAAAAAAAUCUAAAAAAUUUCACUUUAUCAAGAUUAUAUUAGAGAAAAUAUUAGGUCUUGAAAAAUGAUUUAAAAAAUAAAUAAUUAAUGUUAAGAGUAAUUAAAUAUAAAAAACAUAAUUACUUUUACUUGAUAUGUUAAAAAUAAUAAAUAAAAGUAAGAAAUUUAUUUUUAAAUAAUGAAUAAAUAAAAAUAUAAAAAAAUAUCAAAAUAUAAUUAUUUUUAAUAUAAGUGACAAUGAGACAGAGGGAAUAGUAUUAUGAAAGUUUCUUGGUGUAUUACUGAUGAAGUAAAAUGGGCUGGAAACUCUGGCGAAUGGAGUAAACUCUGUGGCCAGUUCCCUACCGCUUAGUGCGCUGACAGAGGAACGGAGAAUUAGUCUCACGACUGUCGGCUGUGGGUAUACCUUGGGAAAUAAAAAAAAAAUGGGCUGGAAACAUUUAAGAAGAGAUUUUUUCUUUUAAAAAAAGUCAACUAAAACAGAUCUCGAUGCCUCAUUAAACUACUAUAAUAUAUUACUCUCUCCGUUUCAUUUUAUGUAUCGCUUUUUGAUCGAAUAUGGAGUUUAAGAAAUGAGUGAUGACUUUGUAAAGUUUAUAAAAUUGACACUCUUAAAAUUUACUUUUCAGUCGUCUUUUCUUAUUAAGUAAGACUCAGUAAGCAUAAAAUGACGACACAUAAAAUGAGACGGAAGGAGUAUAUUUAUGAUUUUUUUUGAAUAUUAAGAUACCAAAUUAGAUAUUAGUUAAAUAUUUCUUUAUCCAAUAAUAUUUAUUCAUAUAAUUAAAAAUAAAUAUCUAAUAAUACUUGUCUCGUUUAGAAAAUUAAUGAAUAAUUUAUUAUGAAUACAUAUAAUAUAUCAAAUUAAAAAAAUACUAUUUUAAAAUAUUUUAAUAAAAAAUUUUAAAAAUCAAUUCGAGUUAUAUAUCAAUCUGUUGUAAAUAAAUAUUCUGAAAUAUGUUAAAACGAAAGAGGAGAGGAGAGAGAUCUAUAUAAGAAAAGACUUUGUUUCUUCUUCUUCUUCUUGGUGUGUUUAACAAUGUAACAUACCAUGCCUUUUAUAGGCAAGAGUAGGUGUAAAAAGUGUAGUAUGUGAAAAUACAUUUACAAAAGAUAUGUCUUCUCUACAUGCUACAAUACUGUGUAAUAGGUGUAGUAUGUGUAAUAUGAGUAUUAUGUGAACAUCCAUAAAUAACUUAUUUACAAGACUCCCCCUUGGAUGUUCAUGUAAAAGAAAAAUUCUAAAGGAAAUAAGAUGUACAUAGCGGUUUGUAAUACGCCUUGUUUGCUGCCCCAUUAAAAUCCUUACCUGGAAAACUAGUGGGACAAAAUCUUGAUGAAGGGAAAAACAGUACAGCGCGUUUUUACUCCCCCUAAUAAAAACAUCACUUAAUAUCUAGCAGACGACGCAUCCCAAUCUUGUGUCUCAACUUCUCAAAGGUUGAUGUUGGCAAUGCUUUAGUGAACAUAUCUGCUAGGUUAUCGCUUGAACGAACUUGUGGAACAUCUAUUUCACCCCUUUUUUGAAGAUCAUGAGUAAAGAAUAAUUUUGGUGAAAUGUGUUUUGUUCUGUCUCCUUUGAUGUAUCCUCCUCUUAAUUGAGCUAUGCAUGCAGUGUUGUCUUCAUACAAUAUUAUUGGAAUAUUCUUCUUCAAAGUAAUGCCACAUAUUUCCUAAAUGAGUUGAGUUAUUGACCUCAACCAGACACAUUCUCGACAUGCUUCAUGAAUAACUAUUAUCUCUGCAUGAUUUGAAGAUGUAGCAAUCAUGGUUUGUUUUGUUGAACACCGUGAUAUAGCUGUACCUCCACAUGUAAACAAAUAACCUGUCUGAGAUCGACCUUUAUGUGGAUCAGACAAAUAUCCUGCAUCUACAUAACCAAUUAAUUGUGAAUCAGACUCAUUUGAAUAAAAUAGUCCUAUAUCAAUAGUUCCUCGGAGGUAUCUGAAUAUAUGCUUAAUACCAUUNNNNNNNNNNNNNNNNNNNNNNUAAAUCUUGCUAAUAAAUUUACAGCAAAAUAUAUAUCUAGUCGUGAAUUACUAGCAAGAUACAUUAAUGCCCCAAUUUCACUAAGAUAUGGUACCUCAACACCAACAAGUUCAUUAUUUUCAUGAGGUCGAAAUGGAUCUUUAUUAAUAUCAAGUGAUCACAACCAUUGGGGUACUCAAUGAAUGUGCUUUAUCCAUAUAAAAUCUCUUUAAAAUAUUUUCAGUAUAUGUGGAUUGAUGGACAAAUAUUUCAUUUGUAAAAUGUUUAAUUUAUAGACCAAGACAAAAUUUUGUCUUUUCGAGUUCUUUCAUUUCAAAUUCUUUUUUCAAGCAUUCUAUUGUCUUUGGAAGCUCUUCAGGAGUUUCAAUGAUAUUUAGAUCAUCAACAUAUACAACUAUUAUGACAAAUUCAGAUCCAAACCUUUUAAUAAAGACACAAGGACAGAUUGGAUCAUUUUUGUACCCUUCUUUAAUUAGGUAUUCGCUAAGGCGAUUAUACCACAUGUGUUCUGAUUGUUUUGAUCCGUAUAAGGAUUUCUGAAUCUUGAUUGAACAAUUUUCUCGAGAAGUUUUAUACGCAUCAGGCAUUUUGAAUUCUUCAGGAAUUUUUAUAUAAAUAUCACUGUCUAAUGAGUCAUAUAGUAGGUUGUGACAAUGUCCAAAAGAUGCAUAUCAAGUUUUUCAUGAACUGUCAAAUUAAUAAGAUACCUGAAGGUGAUUGCAUCCACCAUCAGAGAAUAUGUCUCCAUAUAAUUAAUGCCAGGUCUUUGCUAAAAUCCUUGUGCCACAAGUCGUGCUUUAUAUCUUACGACUUUAUUUUUCUCAUUUCGUUUUCGCACAAAAACCCAUUUGUACCCCAUUGACUUUAUACCUUCAGGUGUUUGGACUAUAGGUCCAAAAACUUUGCAUUUUUCAAGCGAAGCUAAUUCAAUUUUGAUUGCAUCUUUCCAUUUUGGCCAAUCAUUUCUCUGUCUACAUUCUUCAACAGAUUUUGGUUCAAGAUCUUAUCUUAUUGCAUUAUUUCAUUAGCAAUAUUAUAAGCAAACAUAUUAUCGACAAUUACAUCAUUUCGAUUUCAUAUUUUUCUCGAUGAGACAUAACUGACUGAGAUCUCUUUAUUUUCAUUAUUUUUAGGUACCUGAACCUUUUCUGAGGUUUCAUCAAUUGUUAUGUCUUGCUGCUCUUCAUGAGUAGGUUCCUCCAUAUUAUGAUUAUUUUGAUCAUUUGCUCCUCUUAUUUUUCAAGGAUUUUUAUCUUUAGAACCAAUUGAUCUACCAAGUUUUAAGUGUGAUUUAGACUUAUUUGCAUUACUCAAUUGUCUUAUCGGGACAUCAACUUGAAUAGGAGCAUUAGCAGCUGGAAUGUGAGAUUUUAUAAUUCUUGAUAGGUCAGUGAAUGCAUCUGGCAAUUGAUUUGCAAUGUUUUGCAAAUGAAUUAUCUUUUGAACUUCUAGUUCACAUUUAUUUGUACGAGGAUCUAAGUGAGAUAAUGAUAAUGUAUUCCAGUCUAUCUCAUUUUCCAACUACUUAUUUUCUCCCUUUAAUGUUGGAUAUAUUGUUUCAUUAAAAUGAAAAUCAGCAAAUCUUGCCGUAAAUAAAUCUCCAGCCAUAGAUUCCAAAUAUUUUAUAAUAGAAGGAGAUUCAAACCCAACAUAUAUUCUCAUUCUUCUUUGAGGAUCCAUUUUUGUGCGUUGUGGUGGAAUAAUUGAAAUAUAUACCGCACAUCCAAAAACUCUUAGAUGGGAAAUAUUUGGCUCUUGAUCAAAAAUUAAUUAUAAUGGAGAGACUUUAUGAUAACUUGUGGGCCUUAUUCGCACAAGAGCUGCUGCAUGCAAAAUAGCAUGACCCCAUAUCGAAAUGGAAAAUUUUGUUCUCAUAUGUAUUGGUCUAGCGAUUAAUUGAAGGCUUUUAAUCAAUGAUUCUUCUAGACCAUUUUGAGUAUGAACAUAGGCAACCAGAUGUUCAACUGUUAUUCCAGUUGAUAUACAAUAAUCAUUAAAAGCCUGGAAUGUAAAUUCACCCGCAUUAUCAAGACGGAUUAUCUUUAUUGUAUAAUCUGAAAAUUGUGCUCCUAACUUUAUUAUUUGAGCAAGUAAUCUCACAAAUGCCAAAUUACGAGUUGAUAAUAAACAUAUAUGUGACCAUCUUGUAGAUCCAUCUAUUAAAAUCAUAUAGUACUUAAAUGGUCCACAUGGAGGGUGAAUGGGCCCACAUAUAUCACCCUGUAUACGUUUCAGAAAUGCAAGGGAUUAAAUUCCCACUUUCAUUAUUGAUGGCCUAGUAAUUAAUUUCCCUUGAGAAUAUGCAACACAAGAGAAUUCCUUAAAUUGAAGAAUUUUCUGGUUCUUCAAUGAGUGUCCAUAUGAAUUCUCAAUUAUUUUGUGCAUCAUAUUAGAACCGGGAUGGCCCAACCGGUCAUGCCAACUAAUAAACUGUUUGAAUCAGUAAACUUUUGAUUUACUAUGGCAUGUGUUUCAACAGUGCUAAUACUUGUGUAGUAUAAGCUGGAAGAAAGAGCGGAUAAUUUUUCAAGUACAUAUUUAUUACCCGACAUUAUUGUAGUAAUAUAAAGAUAUUUAAUUUUUCCAUCAUUUGUAGUCUCAAUAUGAUAGCCAUUUUGGAGAAUGUCUUUGAAACUUAAUAAGUUUCUUUGAGACUUACUAUAAUAUAAUGCUUCAUCAAUCAUCAAAUUUUUUUGUCCGGGAAGUAAUAAGUUAACUUUUUUGGAGCCUUCAAUUAAUCUUUUACUACCACAUAUAGUAUUAAUAUUGGCUUCUUUCAUCACCAAAUAAGAGAAAUAUUUCUUAUCUUUUAGAGUAGUAUGUGUGGUAGCACUAUCUAUAAGACAUAUAUCAUCGUAACUUAUUUUGGAUCCAAUUGAUGAUUGGGGAAUUUCCAUAUUCUUCAAAUAAAAAAAAUAUAAAUUAUAAGAAAUUUGAAAAACUAAAAUAAGAAAUGUAGAAAUUAGAAAUACAUGGUACUUUAAUAAAACAAAAAAAUAUAAUUGCAAACAAAAGAAAAUAAUAACCUUCUUUAUAAUUUAUUCUCAACUAAGGUGAUCAGUUCUUCAAUCAAUGUCCUCAUAGAAAUCUUCAGCUUUCAAAUGGUAAUAUCUGAGAGGCCCUUAAUGUCACCAUCAUUGUAAGCAAGAUUUGCCUCUACAUCAUCAUAUGUAUUUGAUGGAGCGGCUUCAUCACCAUCACCUCGAAAGGUCAAGUGUAUUGCUACGUGAUUUUCUUUUCUUUUAAGGGAAGCUUGAUAAAGUUUGACAAAAUGAUCAGGCAUACGACAAACACGUGCCCAAGGACCUUUCAUACCAUAUCGGUGACAAAUAUUAACUUUACCCUUUGAAGGAUUAUUUUGAGAACCUUUAUUAUUCUUUUGUUUAUUUCCACCAUUAUGACGAUAAUUAUUUUGUCCUUUGUCACGUCCUCGUCCACGUCCACGACCAUGGACUCGACCACGAUCGCGAUAAUAAUUUUUUUUAUUUUAGGCUGAUCAUGAACUACUACAACAUUCGCUUCAGGAAAUGGAGCAGAUCCAGUGGGACGAGCUUCAUGAUUUUUCAUUAACAAAGUAUUAUUCUUCUCUGCCACAAGUAGGGAUGAAAUCAAUUCUGAAUAUUUAUUAAAUCCCUUUUCACGAUAUUGUUGUUGUAGCAAUACAUUAGAAGCACGAAAGUGGAAAAAGUUUUCUCUAGUAAGUCCUCAUCAGUGAUGGUUUCUCCGCAUAAUCUUAAUAUUGAACUUACUUUAUGAAUAGCAGAAUUAUACUCUACCACAGUUUUAAAAUCUUGAAAUCGAAGGUGUAUCCAGUCAUAUUUAGCUUUUGGUACUUCCGUCAAUUUUAGGUGGUGAUAUCGAUUCUUCAAGUUGGUCCACAAUUCGAGUGGAUCUUUCACAAUUAAAUAUUCAUUUUUAAUCAUUCGUGGAGGUGAUGAUGAAGAAAAAUCAUGGCUUUCACCUUAUCUUGACAAGAUGCGUUAUUUUCUUGUUUGAUAGUAUCCCCAAGACCUCUAGCGUCAAGGUGAAUUUCAGCAUCUAGGACCCAUGAUAAAUAAUUCUUUUCGGUAAUGUCCAGUGCUACAAACUCAAGUUUUGAUAAAUUUGACAUAGUGAAACUAUCAUAAAAAGAUUAAUAAGUUAGAUAUAAUGAUAUUUUCAAAAUAAGAUAACCAUCUCAAAUAAAUUUAAAUAGAAUCAUAUAUUGUUAAUAGAUUAUUAUCAAAAGGCUGUUUCCUUUAGCAAUUUAUAUUUGUGUGUGUGUAGAGUCUGGAAAUAAAUAGUUACAUAAUAAAUAUGUACCUUAUAAGAGAUCUUGUGUUGAUAACGUGUUGUAAAUAAAUAUUCUGAAAUAUGUUAAAACGAAAGAGGAGAGGAGAGAGAUUUGUUUAAGAAAAGACUUUGUUUCUUCUUCUUCUUGGUGUGUUUAACAAUGUAACAUACCAUGCCUUUUAUAGGCAAGAGUAGGUGUAAAAAGUGUAGUAUGUGAAAAUACAUUUACAAAAGAUAUGUCUUCUCCACACUCUACAAUACUAUGUGUAAUAGGUGUAGUAUGUGAAGUAUGAGUAUUAUGUGAACAUCCACAAAUAACUUAUUUACAAUACAAUCCAAAUUUUAAAAGGUUGAAACGGGUUGAGUUGAAAUGAAUUGAAAUGAUAAAUGGACGGGUUGAUAAUCAAAUCGAACUUGAAUGGGUUGGGCGGAUUAUGCAGGUUGGAUUUGAUUAAAAGAAAAAUAGAGAGUCAACACUUCUCUUGAUGUUUGAACCAUUCACUUAUUUUAAAUAACUAGUUUAACCGCACGUGCCUCGCACGUGUCACAUUUGAUUAUUUAAAAUUAAAUAAUUUUAUCUAUUACGAAAAUUUUUAAUAAAGCGUAAAAAAGUUCAAAUUAUUUUUCAAAGAUCCUUCACGCUUUAAUAUAAUAAUGUAAAUAUAAACAUAUAUUUUAGUGUAAGCACAUAUUAUUUUACUACUAGAAGUUUCAAGUGGUUGAUGAAUCAUCACUUUUGCAUCUAUCAUGCAGUACGUCUUUCCCUUGCCGCCAGAGGCUAAGAGAGACGCAUCAAUUUGAAUCAUAUUUGUGGUACAAUUAUAUUUUUUUCUAGAUUUAAUUUUUUUAUUAUUUUUAAAGUCAAAUCUUUAUAAAAUCGUUGAUUAUAUUUUUAUUACGUACUUAAAAUUUAAAAAGAAAUCGGUACUUCUUAAAUUUUUCUUAUUCUAUUAAUUAAUAAGCUCAUGACAUAGUAAAAAUAAUCAUUUCAAUUAUUGUUUUUUUAAUAGGCAUGCUAAGUCCAUGACAAGUAAAUAUGAAGGAAAGGAGUAUAAUAUUGGGUGAAUUUGAUCUUAUACAAUGGAGACCUUUAGUAAAGAGCAACUCAUAAUAGAAAAUUUUCAUUCAGCAUCCCACAUCUUCUUACGCAAAUUCAAAGUUAAGGUUUAAAAUCAAUGAAAAAAAUUAAGUACGAAGAAUAUUACAAAUGCUAACAAAAUUAAUGAAGUGAUCAGUAAAGUUUUAUCCAUGGACUUUAGAAUGAAGACAUUAUUCGUUCAAUAUGUAAUCCAUGGCAUUAUAAUAUCAUUAUAAUCAUCUUCUAGUCUUGUCGGGCAGAUACAUAUAUCAUCAUAGUCAUCCUCUGGCCUUCUCGGGCAUAUAUCAUUGUAAUCAUCUUUCGGAUUUGCUGGAUAUAUAUCAUCAUAAUUAUCCUUCGGCCUUGUCGAGCAUACAUCAUCAUAAUCAUCCUUCAGCUUUAUCGGGUAUAUAUCAUCAUAAUAAUCCUCUGACCUUGCCGGACAUAUAGCAUCAUAAUGUUCGUCAUCAAUAUCAUCACUAUUAUAGCCAUCCUCCAGAUUUCUAUCGAGUAUAAAUAAAUAUCAUCAUUAAUAUGGCCAAUAGGAUAAUCAUUAGAGUAUUAUGGCCAAUAUCUCCUUGUCUCAUUUGGAAGGAGUUCGUCGAAUCUUGAGAUAUGUGAAAAGUACACGUGACUAUGGUAUUUUGUAUAAGAAAGGUGAAGAUUGCAAGUUAUGUGGUUAUUGUGAUGCUGACUAUGCAGGAGAUCAAAAUACUCGACGCUCAACUACUGGAUAUGUAUUUAUGCUUGUGUCAGGAGCGGUCUCAUGGUGCAGCAAAAGGCAGCCAACUGUGCCUUUAUCAACAACAAAAGCGGAAUAUCGGAUAGUAACAGUUGCAGCUCAAGAAAGUACAUGGCUCAUAUAAUUGAUGAAGGCCUUACAACAAUCGGUGGACUAUGCAGUGCCUUUGUACUGUGAUAAUUAAUCAGCAAUUUGCUUGGCUGAAAAUCCAGUGUUUCACGCAAGGACUAAGCAUGUGGAGAUACAUUACCACUUUAUCAGGGGAAAAUUCUUGCAAGGAGAGAUUCCUUUAGAGCAUACUAAAACAAGUUGGGCAUGUUUUGCUAGAAGCUAGGCAUGGUUAAGAUAGGAAGCUGAUGUUGAGAAGGGGUGUUAAAGUUGUGUAACAUCAGUCUUGUUUAAAUUUGACCAAGUCUGCAGUAAGCUAUUUUUUAGCUUUAGUUGUUAGGCUGCAUUAUUUUUUUUAAGUACGUUGCUAUUUUCCUAAUAUGACAAGUAAAUAUGAAGGAAAGGAGUAUAAUAUUGGGUGAAUUUGAUCUUAUACAAUGGAGACCUUUAGUAAAGAGCAACUCAUAAUAGAAAAUUUUCAUUCAGCAUCCCACAUCUUCUUACGCAAAUUCAAAGUUAAGGUUUAAAAUCAAUGAAAAAAAUUAAGUACGAAGAAUAUUACAAAUGCUAACAAAAUUAAUGAAGUGAUCAGUAAAGUUUUAUCCAUGGACUUUAGAAUGAAGACAUUAUUCGUUCAAUAUGUAAUCCAUGGCAUUAUAAUAUCAUUAUAAUCAUCUUCUAGUCUUGUCGGGCAGAUACAUAUAUCAUCAUAGUCAUCCUCUGGCCUUCUCGGGCAUAUAUCAUUGUAAUCAUCUUUCGGAUUUGCUGGAUAUAUAUCAUCAUAAUUAUCCUUCGGCCUUGUCGAGCAUACAUCAUCAUAAUCAUCCUUCAGCUUUAUCGGGUAUAUAUCAUCAUAAUAAUCCUCUGACCUUGCCGGACAUAUAGCAUCAUAAUGUUCGUCAUCAAUAUCAUCACUAUUAUAGCCAUCCUCCAGAUUUCUAUCGAGUAUAAAUAAAUAUCAUCAUUAAUAUGGCCAAUAGGAUAAUCAUUAGAGUAUUAUGGCCAAUAUCUCCUUGUCUCAUUUGGAAGGAGUUCGUCGAAUCUUGAGAUAUGUGAAAAGUACACGUGACUAUGGUAUUUUGUAUAAGAAAGGAGAAGAUUGCAAGUUAUGUGGUUAUUGUGAUGCUGACUAUGCAGGAGAUCAAAAUACUCGACGCUCAACUACUGGAUAUGUAUUUAUGCUUGUGUCAGGAGCGGUCUCAUGGUGCAGCAAAAGGCAGCCAACUGUGCCUUUAUCAACAACAAAAGCGGAAUAUCGGAUAGUAACAGUUGCAGCUCAAGAAAGUACAUGGCUCAUAUAAUUGAUGAAGGCCUUACAACAAUCGGUGGACUAUGCAGUGCCUUUGUACUGUGAUAAUUAAUCAGCAAUUUGCUUGGCUGAAAAUCCAGUGUUUCACGCAAGGACUAAGCAUGUGGAGAUACAUUACCACUUUAUCAGGGGAAAAUUCUUGCAAGGAGAGAUUCCUUUAGAGCAUACUAAAACAAGUUGGGCAUGUUUUGCUAGAAGCUAGGCAUGGUUAAGAUAGGAAGCUGAUGUUGAGAAGGGGUGUUAAAGUUGUGUAACAUCAGUCUUGUUUAAAUUUGACCAAGUCUGCAGUAAGCUAUUUUUUAGCUUUAGUUGUUAGGCUGCAUUAUUUUUUUUAAGUACGUUGCUAUUUUCCUAAUCUUUAGAGUAGCAGAUAGUGUUCCUAAAGUUUAAGAGAGUUUGGUUAGUGCAAUCAGUUUGUGGUUUAGUGGGAUUACAUGUCUUUCUAAUUUGCAAUUUCUUAUUUAAAGAAUCAUCAACAGAGUGAAUAAAGUAGUUGUUCAUUUUUCUCUGCAAAUUGUAUCUUUCUCAUACUGCUAUAACUGAACUUAUUCUUCCUUUGAGUUCAUCAGUUUAACCAUGAGAAUUUCAAAUACAAUUUAGAGUUGUAUUUAGAAAAAUGCAAACAAGUAACCCUUUUUCACUCUUAGGACUCGUUUGACCAUGAAAACCAAAAAUUUAUUCACUUUAAUUAUUUGGUAUUUUUGAAGUUGAAAUUGUGUUUUGUCAUAGUAUUUUUAAAAAUAUUUUAGAUUUUGGAUGUACUUUUUUAUAAAGUGAUAGAAAAGCUUGAAUUCAAUUUUUUUUUUCAAAAAAACAAAAAUUAUGAAAACGUAUUUCGAAAUAUAUUUUUGAUUUUCAUGGCCAAAUAGGUAUUUUGAAAUAAAGUGAAAAUGCAUUACAAAAUAUUGUGAACAAUAUUUAUGGCCAAAUGCCUACUUACUUUUCUCACAAAAAUUCAAAAAUAACUCCAAGUUACAUUCAUGAUCAAAUACAACGCUAACUCUAAAUUUUCUCUUGAGAUGGAAUGAGUAUGUAAAUAUGAUGACAUAGUGCAAUUCUUCGGUGCAUAUUAUAAAUUUUAAAUUAUAUUAAUUAAUAUACACAAAAAAAAGUUCUGUAAAUCAAUAAAAUAAAAAUUCAAAAUUAACUUCUAUGAAAGCCGUUGAAAGAGAAUAUAAGAAUUCAACGAAAGGAAAAAAAUCGAGUGGAGUUUUCGAAAAAUAAAAAAAUGUGAGAACAUGAAUUAAAAUAAAAAGGUGAAGAGGGAGAUGAUUAUGGAGAAAAGAAUAUGACAAAGUAAUGAAAGUUGAUCCCACAAAUUUCAAAUGUCAAAUAAUAAAUCCCUCAUACAAGUAUGACAUGAGGCAUCUCAUACAAAAUAAUUUUUUUCCUUUCAUUCGAGGACAACUUCUUGAUAUGUAUGUGGCUGUAAGGUGGAGGCUACAAUAUCUUAGAAAGAAGGCAGAUAAUUUAAGAUGUGAAAAAUUUUGCUAUCAGGCCAUCAAUUAAACAAACAUAUUAAUAAAAGAACUAUUGUCCAGUUGAAUACUUGAAAUAUUAUAAGAAUUGCAUAAUGAAAACCGUUUGAAUAUUUCUUUUCAUAUUCAUAAUAGAGUGUGUAAUGUACGCAGUUAUAUUUGCAUUUGCUCAUAAGUAGUGAUUUAGAGAAUGUAUCUAUAUUGCAAUAACUACUUUACAUAAAUUAGUAUGGAAUACAUGUGCAAUGCACAUGCUCAGAACUAGUGCAUUAAUAAAUAUACAAUAUACUCAAUGUAAUCUUACGAGUAUUGUGUGGAGAAGAUUGUUUGUACGUUGCCUUACCCCUAUUUUAAGAAGGUAGAAAAUUAUUUUUAAUAAACUUCCAACUAAAAUAAAGUACACCAAAUCAAAUCAAGCAUGAAAACUCAAAAUAAAGUAUACCAAAUCAACUAUUACAAUGACAGGGAUUAAUAAUUAAUAUGAUAACAAUUGAGUCAUUUAAAGCUCUUCCGUCUCCAUUUACCAUUUUGCAUCCCGUAAAGCUAUUAAUGGGACACAUUUACCAUUAUGUGAGUGGGGCAUGACUUGAAAUAUGAGACACCUUCACCCUUUUCUCUUUUUCUCCCGUGCUUUUUCUAUUUUUUUUUACGUUUUCUCCCCUUUAAUCUUCUUCUUCUUUUUUUUUUUUUUAAUUUUGUUACUUCCCCUUUAAUCUUCUAUCUUGUCUUUUUAUUUUUUAAAUAAUUAAAUUUAAAAACAAACUUCAUUAUAUACAAAUCAUAGUUUAUUAAAAUAAAUUUUUUAAACAAGUCAUCAUUGGUCAUUUAAUUUUAAUUUUAAUACAUAAAAAUUACCUUUUAUUAUAUAAAAGUCAUUUAAUUCUAAAAUGUCAUAUAAUUUUAAAUUUUUGUUUACAUAAAAGUUAUUUAAUUUUAAAAUUUAUCACGUAAAUUCAACAUUGAGUUUUUUUUUUUUGUCAUUUAGCAAUCAUUCAACUUUAAACAAGUUAAUUAAAAAGUAAAUGUUGCAUGAAUUUAAUAUUUCAUAUCAAAAAUAUGUUGUCACUUCAAAAUAAAUUACAUCUGUGAUAAUAUUCGAAACAUCCAUUAGUGGUUUGCUACUUAGGGUAACACACAACUUUUAGAAAUACACGCUGUCAUAUUUGUUUUUCUAUUUUUAACGUACUAUGAAUAAUAUUUACAAAAAUAUAAUUUAAUUAUUUUUCUAUCCUGAUAUACUCAUUUUGUUGUAAAUUUUGCAAAAAUAAAUUAUGUGUGAUAAAUUUUAAAUAUGGAAUACUUUUAUGUGAUAAAAUAGCAAAAUAAUAAUUUUUUGGCCACAAUUGUGAAAAGACUUACAUAGCCUUGUGAGUCUCUUCUCAAAUAAAUUCCCACACAGGGUAAAAAUGUCAAAAGGUUAACUAAUUUAUAGUGUGAACCUAACUUUUUCUAUUGUGGCCAAAUUGUGGCCAAAAAGAUUUUUCCAAAAUACAAUACAGAAAUAUCCUUAUACAUUAAAGAUGUAGUCUCUAGUAUAUUUACUCAUUAGCAUUAGUGAAUGUGAACUUCAAAAUCAGAAAUUUGAAGGAUUUGAGGUUUUGGUAUCAGUAGUUUGACAAUAAAAAUGUUCUUGUAAUAAACAAUCAAUUUAGAUUAUUAAUUAUAUGAAACUAUUUAUUUCAUAGAUUAAACACAUUCAUUAGAAACAUCGUUAAUAAUAUUGUAUGUAUACCUCAUAAAAUAAUAAAAUUCUCAUAAAGAUAUUAACGUAUGAUUAUCCAUCUUAAAAUAUAAUGAAAGAUAUCCUUAUAUAUUAAAGAUGUAGUCUCUAAUAUAUUUUUUCGGUUUCCCAUCUGGUGUCCGAUGUCCGUAGUGGAGCCCGACUAAUUCGGAUUCGCGCUGGGUAGGGCCCCAUUCGGGGGUAGCGCUCCCAACAGAGUUUUCUCCAUGCUCAGGGUCGAACCCUCGACCUCUAGUUAAAGGUGGAGCAGUCCCAUCCGCUGCACUUACUCUUUAGUAUUAGUGGGUGUGAACUUCAAAGUCAAGAAAUUUGAAAGAUUUGAAAUUUUGGUAUAUGUAGUUUGUAAUAAAAACGUUCUUGUAAUAAACAAUCUAUUUGGUUUAUUAAUUAGAUAUAGCAACUUAUUUCAUGGAUUAAAUACACUCAUUAGAAACAUUUUUACCGAAUAAUAUUGUAUGUACACUUCAUAAAAUAAUAAAAUUCUCUUCAAUUCAUCUUUUAAGUGUUUGUUGUCACACUUAUUAAGAUUUAUUUGUAAUUAUCGUAUCUUAUUAUUCAUUACACUCAUAUUUUCAUAGAAUUGUUAUCGUUCUAACGAGUUUAUAUAAAUUUACAUAGAACACACAUGCAAUGCACGUGUCUAAAAAUUAGAAUACAUAAUAAAUAUGAGAUAUAUAUUUUGAUUAGCACCCUUAUUCACAAAGGUUGGAUAGUUGCACUGGUUGAUACAGGGCGCACAAACUAUCCUUUAGUGGAGGAUUUGAUUCCCUUCAAAUUAGUUUCUUGUUAAAUGAAGAACACUGUAUCAAAAAAGAUAUUUAGCAGCAAUUAGUUAAUGGCGAUGGCUUAAUUGAGUAAAACUUUAUUUUAUUAGUGACAAUUACAUUUUAGAAUUCUUUGUGAAUGUCCCUAUUCCAAUGAUAAUUAACUAAUCCGGUAAAAACUUUAGUACUCUUUGUUAAAGUGUAUAUUUAUUGCUGCUAAAAAGUCUUUAUUGAUGCAGACUAGUGCGUAAUAGUGUAAUGACCCUCUCGGUCGUUUGUGGAAUUUUCUCAUCUUCUCUAUUUUGCGCUCUGCUUAGUUUGCAUAUGUGAUUUAUGACUUACGGAGAUAGAUAAUAUCGAUUCUUGAGGUGUCCCGAAGUAAGUUAAGUCACUAGUUGGGUAUAUUUAAGAUAAUUAAUUUGAUUAGUGAUUUAAUGGGCUAAAGUGACAAUUUACCUACUUAGGUGGCCAAUACAAGAAUUAAUUUAAGUGGAAAGGGUUUGGGAAUAGAUGAUAGAUGAUAAUAUUAAUACCAUCAGAAAGUUGGGGCUAGGGGAAUACGAUGGUUAGCAUAUUUUCUUUCCCCAUUCACGGCUCUAGAAGGAUCAACACUUUCAGGUUAGUAUACGAUUUCUUUCUUAUUUUUGUGAAGUUGUUCCUAUUGUUAUAGUUUCUUAUAUAUAACGAAUGAAGGGUGAGUAAAGUCUUGACAGUGACGAGGGAUGAUCAAUUUAUGUUUUUGUGAGGUAAAAAUUAUGAUUGAUGGAUGGAUAAUAAUAGUAUUAUGAUGAGAAGGUGUAUACGGUAAUCAUGGUACGCCAAAAUGGUAAUAAGGAUGGUGUGAAGGUGAAUGGGAAUAAAUUGAAAGUGACAGUAAAAUGUGCAAAUAAGUUUCCUGGAAGCUUUCUAUUAGCUUUUCUUAUGAUUAAUUAAGUAUAAUAUAUUAAUUUUGUUCUUUUUCUAAUCACUUUGCGAUAAUGGCUAUUCAGGGCCUUCCAAAGAUGAACAACAUGAAGGUUAGAUGAUUUAGGAUUUGAUAAUCCCACUAAUUAUGAUCUUAAUAACUCUUAGCCACUAAUUAUAGUCUCUUUUAUUAUAGAAAACUUUGGCUUUAGAUAAAAAACAAAAAUUAAAGUAAAAAUUUAUAAAAUGGGUGUUUUUAGAUUCGUAUCCUUAUGGGAAUUAUAUGUUGAAACAGAUUCCAAAACUUUGAGGAAGGAAAAAGAUCUUGCGGACUAACUACAUUUAAAUUCGUUGGUUAAGGUAGGUUGCGGUUUAAUUAGAGUUUAUACUCGAUUUAAUUGUGUGUACGCUCCUAAAUUUGAUACUUGUUGAUUGGUAUUCGUACAUGCUUGAAAUUGUUGAUGUUUGGAUUGUGGAUGCGUGUAUAAAUGUUUACUGAAAAUUUACUUGAUGGAAUUGUCUUAUGAAUUUAAGUGUACUUGUAAACUCGGUACAUUGUGUUAUAUGCUGUGAGGUUGUGUAAACUGAUAUUGAUAAUACUUGUAUAUGUUGGAUUGGGUACCACACCGGUACAGAUAUAUAUGUUGGAUUGGAUACCAUGCCAGUACCGAUAUAUUUAUGUUGGAUUGGGUACCACACCGAUACGGAUAUGUAUAUGUUGGAUCGGGUACCACGCCGGUACAGAUAAGUAUAUGUUGGAUCGGGUACCACACCGGUAUGGAUAUAUUUAUGUUGGAUUAGGUACCACGCCGAUAUGGAUAUGUAUAUGUUGGAUCGAGUACCACGCUAGUACAAAUAUGUAUAUAUUGGAUCGGGUACCACGCUGAUACGGAUAUGUAUAUGUUGGAUCGGGUACCACAUCGGUACGGUAUAUGAACAUAGAUUGUUCCCUGCAGGUCAUGACUAUUUGGGCAAAAAUAAGUCUCAUAGCAUGUGCGUACAUAAUUGUGUUGAUUCUGUGGAUGUUUACAGUGUGGUUUCUACUCUUGAUAGUUAUGUGACUUGUUUGGGAGCACUGUUUGACCUGUUAUUGCUAUAUUGUUGAUUCAUUGAGUAUUUGCUAUGUGAUGAAGCCUAUAUACUUGUUAUUUGAUUUAUGUUGUGUACAUAUUAUUAAGCUGAGUUGGCCUAUGAUACCUACCAGUACAUAGUGGUUUGUACUGAUGCUACCCUGUACUCUUUUUUUGUUUAGUGCAGAAAGUGUUCCAGAGGCUCAGACACGACCUCACCUCUAGAGUUUGAUAGCAGAUCUUGAUCCGAGGGUGAGCACUCCAUCUUCAGGCUGUCAAGGGUCAUCUUAUUUGUUAUUGCCCGAAUACUGCCAAGGGUCAUCUUAUUUGUUAUUGUCCAUCUUUCGGGCAAUAAAACAUUCCUUAUUUACUAUAUUUUGGAUAUCUCUUUAGAUAUGAUUUUCGGUAGUAGUUCUUGUAUGAUGACUUUCGGGUCUUGGUAAUUUUUGUAAUGAGUUUGUUGAAUUUUCUCAUAAUUAAUGAUUAGUUCUGGAUUAUUAUUAUUACAAUGUUGAUUUUAUAAAAUAUCAUCUUAAUAUUGACUAAGUGACUGGGUAAUAGUUUGAUUUAGAUGGUUCUCUCACGGGAAGAUUAGUGUGGGUGCCAAUCAUGACCAUUUGGGUCGUGAAAAAUAGUAACAUAACUAUGCUUAAUGACGCUCUAUGAUUCUUAAUGGAAAACCAUUUUUUAUCCUUGAUACAACAAUUGAAUUAUAAUUUGAAGAGAAAAUAUCCUAACCCGGAGUGACUCAAAAGCGCUUUAGAAUGGUGGCAACCACCAUCUUCAUCAGCACGAUCGCAAUUUCUUUUCCUAAACAAGUCCUUAGCCCUGCUUGAAACACCGGAUAUGUGAAAGGGUCUCUCGCGAUGAAAUUCCAGUCAUCACCAUUUGAUGUGUCACUUUUUCUUCUCUCCAACCAUCUCUCAGGACAAAAAUCAGCCCAAUCUGAUCCCCACAAAUCUCGUGACCUACCCAUAGCAAAUAUGUGGUAGAUUAUGCUCGUCCCCUUUUUCACUUUUGUUCCAUCAGGUCAAACAUCGUCUUCUACUGCUUCUUUUGAAUCUAGUGGAAUGGGCGGGAAAAGUCUCAUGCUCUCAUAUAUGGAGGCAUGUGUGUAAAUCAUGUCCCUCAGACGUCCACCGUUCUAUUUAAUUUCUCCCACAAUUUCUUUUUCUACAUUCUAGUUAGUCGAGACUGACCAAAAAAACCAUGUUAAAGCUGAACACAUUGUGUCUUGUCUGGCCAGGACUUAGCUAACAACUGUAUUAACAAGAAAUGUUUUGUCUAGUUGUUCACCCUGUGCCCUUCUCACUAUUCUUGCAAAUAUGUCCUUGUCCUCCAAGUCCUCCUCCGCGACAAAUCUUUCCUUUCUUUAGCAAUAAUAUUACCCAGGAAUUUGUGAAGUUCAUCAGCCAUAAGUGCUAGUCUUUUCUCGGACUCUGUAUUGAAGAACUUUUUAGCUUUCCAUAUCAGGGGUAAGGUGCUAUACCUUAAAAUGCUCAACUAUACUGCAGUUUUAAAAGCAUCGGCAAAAGGGGUUGGUGGGAGAGAAGGUAAUAAAUACUCAGGAUCGAACCCAAACCCGAUCCCACAUACAAAAUCAAAUGUGAAUCGAC